rnacentral:lncRNA from 1 species
GAAGAAGGAAGUGAAAAGGAGAAGAAACUGUAAUGGGCUAAGGGAUGCAGAGCCCAAUACUAUUUAUUUUAGUGGGCCUGAGCCCAAAACUGAACAAAUGUGAACCAGACAAUCAGCUAGGGUUUGAAGAUGCAGAAUUUUGGAUUGACUUGACCAACAACGCGUGUCUCUGAUAGUUCUCUCGAAAUGGAGAGUUCCUCCGGAGAAUCCGAAUCCGAGGACGACAGACUGAUCUCUGAAAUGGAGAGUUCCUCCGGAGAAUCCGAGGACGAGAGACCGAUUGUACUCACCAACAGAACUUCGCAAAAGAGGCAACGUUCUCCGACCGAACGCACUGCGACGCUGCUGGAUCUGGAUGUUACAGACUGUCCCAUUUGCUUUAAUCCUCUCACCAUUCCCAUCUUCCAGGUUAUAUGUCUCAAUCUGUUUCUACCUUAACUCCACUUCUCUCACAAUAUCUUUUUUUUGGGCAUAUAGUGUGACAAUGGUCAUAUAGCAUGCUCUGCUUGCUGCCAAACGUUGAGCAAGAAGUGUGCAACAUGCUCCUUACCCACUCUUUCCCGCAACAGAGCUAUGGAGCGGGUUAUUGAACUUCUUAGAGUUCCAUGUCCGAAUGAUGGUUGCUCCAAGAUUGUCUCUUGUUCUGAAACAUCAGCACAUGUGAAUCAUUGUCCUUUCACCCAACGUACUUGCCCCUUUAGCAGCUGUGACUUUACUUGCUCCUCCAAGGAUUUAUAUAAACACGGCGCUGCGGCACCAUGCGCUGCUAAAUUUGGCCUUUCCUUUUCCUUGAGCAUGUUUAAAUGUGGAACGCUCGUGCGUACGCAUCUCUCAACAUAUAAGAGGAUCAGACUUGAGGUAUGAUCUCUACACUUUACUCGUUCAAUAUUGCAAGUAAAACUCAUUUGAGUUUAUAGUGUUGAUGAGAAGAUCAUUUUGUGGUUGUAUAAUACAACUUGUAUUAAGUAUAAGAAUCUGAGCUUGAAUCUUCUUUUUUCUUUGUUGUUGCAGGCUGCAGAAGAAAGAAGAAGAGAGUGGAGACUGGAGAGUCUAGAGACUUAACGCGAGGUAUUAUCUUAUACUUAGCGUGAUUCUAGUGUACUUUUGGACAAGAUAUUGAAAUGUUCAUACUAGAGAACUCACUACCUCACAAUGAUCUUGUCAUUGUUUACUUAUUGAAGUAGCAUCUGAUCUUGAUUUGUAGAUGUGAUCAUUACAUUUAAUCUAAUGUGAUAUUCUGGUAGAAAUCUUCAGCAUAUUGUGUUUUUAUAUUGUCAUUGUUUGAAUCUAAUGUGAUUUAUAGAAAUGUCGCUUCAUAAUACACAAUGUUGUCCUUUUUCUCACUAGUGCUCUUGGCUAUGUUUUUGUUCAUUGUAGUUGCAUUCAUUAUAAGAAUCGGAGGUUGAAUCAUCUUUUUUUCUUUGUUGCUGCAGGCUGCAGAUGAGAGUAGAUAAAAUCACAAAACUAGAAUAAAGUGAAUUCAUAAACAGAGUUAUCAAAAACUCAACCUUUUGAGAUUAUUUUACAUCAUAUUUAUUUUCAGAUUUUUAAAUGUUAGUUUAAAAUUUCAAAACUUUAUUACUCAAUUCAAUGUUGGAUAUUUCUAUCUCAUUUUGAUGUUAUUUGAUAUUAAAAUUGGGAUUACAUUAAGUUUAACAGAUUUGAGGUAAUAUUAAAAUUUACUUAUAAAUGGACGGUCUUGGGUUGUCCAACUGGUUAAUGGGUAAAAUUGGGUUUGAGUGUUAUUGGAUGUGGGCUAAAUAUGAAUAUGGGUGUCUUUAGUCCAGUAAAAAUAAAUGUCCAUUGGGCACGCCCAUUUGGGUGCAGUCCAACCCAACUGACAGCCCUAGCCCUAGUGAGAGUAUGAAAGCAAAUGGGACAGUCUGUAACAUCCAGAUCCAGCAACGUCGCAGUGCGUUCGGUCGGAGAAAGUUGCCUCUUUCGCGAAGUUCGUUUGAAUACAAUCGGUCUGUCGGAGUCGGAGUCUCCGGGCUCCAUUUCGAGAGAAGUAUCAGAGACACAAGCGUCGUUGGCCAAUCCAAAGCUCUGCACCUCGAAACCCUAGCUGACCUGUCUGGUUCCAUUUAUUCAGUUUUGGGUUCGGGCCCACUAAUAAUAACAGUAAUGGGCUCUGCAUCUCGAAGCCCAUUACAGUUUCUUCUCCUUUCACUUCCUUCUUCUUCGUCAUUCUCUUUCUGCAUUUUACAGUCGGUAGUGUCGUCGACAAAUGCCUUGACAGUUCUCCGAGCGUUUCUGAUUUUGUCUUCUCUCCUGAGCAGACAUCGUGUCUCCACUAAACUUAACAGGUUAUUCUCUUCCCCAACAUUUCAAGCUUUUUUUCUAGGGUUUUGCUUCAUUCCUCUAUGUAGCUAUGUUUUUCAAUUGUUAGCUUUGUCUUCUUCCCCUGUAGUGAAAUACAGAUUUUUCUGAGGUUUUGUCAUGUUAUAUAUCUUUCAACAUUUCAACUCUUUUCUAUUGUUUUUGUAAAAGGUGAUGGACAGAAUCAGUGGACUAUCCGAUGAGUUACUGGCCAGGAUACUAACCUUUGUUCCGACAAAAGUUUCUGUCUCCACCAGCAUUUUAUCUAAACGAUGGGAGUUUCUUUGGACGUGGGUGCCUAAACUCGAGUUCGUGGAUAACAAGUAUGGAUCAGACCUUGCAAUUAGGGAUUUUAUCAACAAGAAUCUUCCAUUACUCAAACCUCCGGUCAUAGAGAGCUUCCUCCUCAAAUGUUAUUCAUCAUUUUUUCAACCUGAGGAUAUCACUCAGUGGGUUGCAACUACGGUUUCUCGCUGCAUCGUUGAGCUAGAUAUCGACUGUGUAUACUGUUGGUCGGGAGAACCUUGUUUGUUAUUGCCGGGCAGCUUGUUUACGUGCGAAUCGCUAGUGACUUUGAAACUCAACGGCGAGAUGAUUCUGUUGGAUGUUCCUCGGACUGUUUAUCUCCCUUCGUUGAAAACUCUGCAUCUUGGAUGUGUUACUUACUCAAAAGAAGAUACUUUCCGACUGCUUUUGUCCUACUGCCCUGUUCUUGAAGAUCUGGUUAUUCAGCGAAGUGGUCGUGACAAAGCGAAAGCGAUAGUUGUGAUCAGCCCGUCCCUGCAGAUGCUGACCUUACAGUUAGAUGGUGGAACUUCUUCGACUGAUGAGUUUGUUAUAGUAACCCCUUCUUUGAAGUAUCUCAAUAUUGAGGAUUACAAUGCGAGGUACUCUUACUUGGUCGCUCAUAUGCCUAAGGUUGAAGAGGCAGAUAUAGUUGUUGAUGAGUAUCUUGAGAUGGUCUUUGAAUCAAUCACAUCUGUCAAACGCCGUUCGCUUUGCGUCUUAUUCGACUUUGAAGAGAGGGUAUAAUCUUUUAUCAACUUCAAGUACACAAUCUCUAUUAUAUAAUAUCACUUACCUUUUGUUAUUACAUUGUCUCAUGUGUGCAGUAUAUGUAUCAUGAUGGUAUAUUCUUUGGUCAGCUUGAACAUCUGAAGUUAGGUAUAAGCUUUGAUUAUUGGUCCAAGUUGCUUUUCCGGUUGCUCCGGGAUGCUCCUAAGCUGCGAGUCCUCGAACUCUACGUCUAUGUAAGUUUCUUCCUUUUGACUAAUUUUCUAUACUCUUUGUUGUAGUGUUCAUGUAUAGUUCUCUCUUUCUUUUUCUUUUUUUUUUUGUUUAACUCCGAGUGGUGGACGUUUCAAUAAGUAUGAGCCGAUUAGCUAGAACAAUGACCCGAGUGCUGUUCCUACAUGUUUGUUGGAGAGCCUUGAAACUUUCGAGUUUGCAGACUACAGGGGAAGGCAAGAAGAGAGAGACUUCGUGAGUUUUAUCAUCAAACACGCUUGUCACUUGAAGUCCUCGACGAUUACGCCUUCUACCAUAAUGGAAACUUGUUCCUCAACAGAUAGUUGUUGCAUUUGACGAUUAUGGACUGGUAGGCUUGUUUUGUUUUGUUGUCCAAGAACAGUUAGGUGCUUAUCAUGUGUUGAUUCUACACUAGUGUCUUUUUAAUGUUUUUUUAAGUGGUAUUAUCUUCGGUUUGGUUAGCUUUUGUCUCUUAUUGGUCGAAGCUACUCGUCUGGCUGUUCCAUGUUUUUCUGUCUAAACGCAACCAACGGUGUACUUUUAUUCCCGAGUUAUUAGGCUUGCCUUGUUAUAAUGAGUUAAAAAAAUAAAAACAAAAGAGUAGAAAAAUCUGGAAACUGAGAAGAGGAAGUUACCGGGUACACAACUACAUAUGAAAAAAGAAUCAUCAGACCCUAGAGUUUCUAAUGGUAGAACAAGUGUAAAGUAGCUCUGCAAUAUUUUGUAGACGAAAUGAGUAUAUGAUACAGAGUAUUGACAAAGGCUUUCACAUUUCUUCAAGCAUUUCUGUUUUGUCUUGUGAUUCGGAUAACAAAAAGUUAUUCCUAUUUGUUUGCGCAUAUGAACUUAGGUCCACAUCACAAAGUGUUAGGUGCUAUAGUUUUACAGAUGAAAUCUAAUAAACAAAAGUAGAUGUUGCAUUAGAUAUACAUUUCCGAUUGUAGUGUUUCCAAAAGAACAAAACUCAAAAGCUCUUUUUCGAACUCCUAAGCACAAAGAUAGAGUAGGUAAGUGUGGCUUAUGAGGGAAGAACUAGUAGCUUCUUCAUGAUCCUAGUAAGUCUCCCCGCUUGAUGGUUAUGAAAAACAUGUAGGCAGGGCAGGUCGAUGAAGGAACAAACAUAACAGACCCACCUGGUAGUUCAUUGCUUACUUCACGGACUCUUUCGAGUUUUGAUUCAGAAGACAAAUGCUUACCCGAAGCUAAAGAUAGCUUCAGUUGGUAGGAGAACUCGUCUGUUCCUGGUCCAAUACAGCAGGCAUAGAACAUCCGACCGUCUGGCAUGUCGAACCACUCCACAACCACAACUUCUCCUUCUCCUUCUGUAGUCUCUUCCUUGAGAAUGAUCCCCUUACCACCUAAAGGUAUAAACACUUGGGUUCCACAUUCAAACAUGUCUGAGAACUCGCAGUGUCUAGCUGAUUGUCUGGUUCCAUUUGGCCUUUUUAUUUAUUUAUUUUUCUCCUUCAAUAUUAAAACCCAAAACAAGAUAGCAAAACGACGUCUCUACAACACGGUCAUAAACUAGACGAUGAAGAAACAUACGUUUGUAGAAAAGCUUCACGCAGCAUAUAGACAAUAUUUUAUCAUGGGGUAACAAAAAAAAACAUAACCAAAGAUAGGUAAGAGACAAAGAAGUAGGAUGAAGCAUCAAAAGCAGAGCGGAGCAGCAGCUUCUGUAUGUCCCGAUUCAGUCGUCAGCCUUUCCAGCACCAAAAGGGUCAUGAUUCGGACCCAACUCCUCUCCCAUAUGGCGCUGCACCAGCCUGGAAAGAUCAGACAUGACCUUAGCCUCACGCUUGGCCUUCUCCUCAUAGUUAAACAUAGCCAACGCACGCUUGUCUUCAGCACUGUAAACCUGGUUCUCCUUCCUGAUACGAAUAGCAUUCAUCCUUUGAUGCCUACUCCCACUCAUAACAUACCCAAGAUCCUCAAACCUCUGAAUCUCAUCAGCGUUAAGACCCACUUCUCCUCUACGUGGGAUACGUUUCCCUUGCUGAACGUACUGUGCUAUAGCGUCUCCUUCACCGGGUCUUAACGCAGGACCGUAACCGCUCAUGUGUCCUUCAGCUUUAGGACCCACCUCAGCUUCUUCUUCUUCUCUGAACUUCUUCAACUCAAGCUCAGUAUCCUUAACCUUUUCUUCAAGUUUCGCCUUCAGAUCAGUGUCAGAACCAUCGCCUGACAGCUUCUUCCGCCUCUUGCUCUUUGACCUGCUAUGUUCUUCCCCAGAAGCACUCCUAUUUCCUCGCUUCUUUCUGCUUCCUUUCUUCUUCUUACUUGUUCUUCGUCCCCUAUCUUCUUCCUCGUCGCCUGAGAGCUUCUUCCGCCUCUUGAUCUUUGACUUGGUGUGUUGUUGUUCAUCACCAGACGAGGAAGCACUAACCUCAGAUUCAGAAUCACUGUAUCUUCUCUUCUUCCUAAUACUUGUGCUUUUCUUCCUUUUUCUUCCUAGUUUCCUAUCUUCCUCAUCGGAAUCACUCUCUUCAGAUCUCCUAGAGCUCUUACUCUUAAUCUUCCUUCUACUACGUUGUCUCCUUCUAUCUUCCUCAUCAGAAUCACUCUCUACAGAUUCGCUAUCGCUAUCAUAAGAUCUCCUCCCCCUACGCUUCCUAGAUCGAUCAGUUUCAGAUUGCGACUUACCAGAAUCAGAUUCGACUUUGGCUUUCGGCAGGUUAUCAUCAUCCCUCUCGUCGGCGUUCGGAUCUCUCGGCGUGUUCCUCAUCUUGAUGCGUUUGAGCCUCCGGUACUCCUGGUAGCUCACCCCCUUCAGCUCUUCGUCCGAUUCCGAUCCUCUACGCCGACCUUCAUAAACUUCCCCUUCAUUCGGAGGAGGCGACAUCUUGAUCCCUAGGGCCACGACGUGAGUAUUUUAUAACUCCAGCUAACAUUUGGCCUUUUUAUUUAACUGUGGGCUUUUUUAUUUAAUUGUCGCUUUUUACUUUUUACUAAACAUGAGCUAAGAAAUUAGUGGGAUUUUAUUUCUUCUGCCUAUAAUUUUGAAAACCCAUUACCUAAAUUAUUCUCCACCAAUUCCAAUCAGGUGAAUAUAUAAAACUAGGGUUGCCUAAGGGCGGGAUAGUAACCGAAAAAUACAUAAAUAUAUAAUAAAUGUUAACGAAUAUUUUAAAAUGUUUAGCUUACUUUAGUUUAACGUAAUAUUAGUUUUCAUUGUGUAUGUUUUGUUAUUCUUAUAAUAGAUUACUAGGUGUUUUGCCCGCACGUGCGGACUUAAUCGUCUUACAAAUAUAUAUUAAUUUAUAUUUUAUUAAUUCAAAAAUCAGCAUGAUAACUUAUUAUUUAUGUUUUCAAAAAAAAAAUUAAACAUCAAAUUAUAUAUACAUACGACAAAAAAAUCAUUAAAAAAUAUUUUUUUUUUUGUGUUGAAAUUUUAAAAGAAAACAUUCACAUAUUAGAAAUAUUUUAGAAAAUAUCUUUAUACAAAAUAUUUUAGUUGAUUAGUAUAUAAUUAUAAAUUGUUUAUUAUAUAUUUUCUAACAUUUAUAAUUGAAAAAAUAAAUUUUAAGAUAAAAAUACAAUAUAUAAGAAUUAUCUUAUUUAAAAAAAAUAUAAUAUUAUUAAUGAAAAUUCGUUUUAAUUAUAUAAUUAAUUUUAUAUAAAAUUCAUUAAGGAUAACAUUGAAUUUAACCACUUAAUUAUUAUAAAUUAUUUAUAAUAAAUAUUUAGUUAUAAAUUUUUUAUAUGUUAUUUUCUAAAUUUUAUAAUUGAAAAAAAAGAUAACAACCCAAUAUAUAAGAAUUAUCAUUAAUUAUAUGUAUUAAUUAAUUAUUAUGAUAAUUAUUUAUAUAUAAUAUGUUAAUUAAGAUAACAACACAAUAUAUAAUAAUUAUAUUAUUUAAAAAAAUUAUAAUAUUAUUAAUGAAAAUUCUUUUUAAUUAUGUAAUUAACUAUAUAUAUAUAAUUAAUUAAAAGUAACACUUACUUUAACAACUUUAUUAUUAUAAAUUGUUUCAUGUCUUAUUUUUAACUUUUAUAAUUGAAAAUAUGUUUUAAGAUAACAACACAAUAAAUAAGAAUUAUCUUAUUUAAAAAAAAUUAAUAUUGUUAAUAAAAAUUCGUUUUUGAUUAUAUAAUUAACUAUAUAUUAAAUUCAUUAAGGGUAUCAUUGACUUUUUAAAGUGAGAGCUCGAUUGCGAAAAAAUUACUAAUAAUUAAUUAUUAUGAUAAUUAGUUAUAUAUAAUAUGUUAAUUAAGAUAACAACACAAUAUAUAAGAAUUAUCUUAUUUAACAAAAUUAUAUAUUAUUAAUAAAAAUUUGUUUUUAAUUAUAUAAUUAAUUAUAUAUAAAAGAUUAAUUAAAAGUAACAUUGACUUUAACCACUUAAUUAUUAUAAAUUGUUUCAUAUCUUAUUUUUAACUUUUAUGAUUGAAAAUAUGUCUUAAGAUAACAACACAAUAUAUAAGAAUUAUCUUAUUUAAAAAAAUUAAUAUUGUUAAUAAAAAUUUGUUUUUGAUUAUAUAAUUAAAUAUAUGUAAAAUUCAUUAAGGGUAUCAUCGACUUUGACCACUCUAACUUUUAACGUGAGAGCUCUAUUGCGAAAAAUUACUUCGCAAAUAAUAGUAUAGAUAACAUAAAAUUUGUUUUUAAUUAUAUAUAAAAAUUCAUUAAGGAUAGUAUAGAUAUUAACCGCUCUAACUUUCAAUGUGAGAGUUCGAAUGCGAAAAUUUACUUCGCAAAUAAUAGUAUAGAUGUUUAUUUUAAUAUUGAAGACAUGUUAAUGAAUACAUAAUAGUUUUACAUAUUUAUUUGUUUAUUCUACUGUAGUAAUAGUUUUGAUAAUAAGCAAAAUAAAAAUUUAGUACAUAAAUCUCGGAUUAAUUAUGUGCCAAAAUAUUAUUUUAGAUUGAUGUCAAAUGUUCUGUUAGAUUUUAAAAAUGAUCAAAAUUUUUUUUUGGAUUAUUAAAUAUUUUAUCAAUAAAUUUGGUUUAAAAAAAUAAGAUGAUGCAAACAUGGAAUACUUAAUAAACUUUUACAAAUUAUAGUGUUAAAUUUUUAGACAACUUCUUUUGAUGAAAUUUCAUCAGAAAAAUAAAGGAUUUAGCUUUAUUAAUAGUAUAACAUUAGUUUUAAUAUUUGUUAUUAGAUUUAAUUGAUUAUAUACUAAAUAAGAGGUGUGUUUGAACGAAUUUCUUUUCAAAUGUGUCAACGCUCUAUUGUUUUUAUUAGGUUAGCAUGUGUCAUUUGUCGAAAAGAUAUGUUAUGAGAAAUGUUUUAAGUUCGGGUGAGUUUUAUCUGAUAUUAUUUUAAUGAUUUGUAAUUGUAUCGUGUAUUUCUGGUAAAGUAAUUUAUUUUGAAAGCCUUUCCUCUAAGCUCCCAUUUUCCAUUUUCCAUGAACUCAUACACCAAAUACCAGGACACGUACAAAAGCGAAGAACCAUGUGAGGAUGUCUGGAGCAGCAUCAGAUUUCAAGACUAAUGGCAAUAGGGUUGUGAUCAAGUUUAUCUUUUGUACCAGACAUUGUUAUGUACGAAAGAAGUAAACCACCGUAUUUCUGGUGCGAUUCCCUUUUUUUUUUUUCAUUUCAGCUUGCUUCCUUCUAGUUCCACCAUCGUCUGCGCUUUCUCACUUGCUUCCAUUGUAGCUCUAGACUUGGCCUUCUCCAUCUUUGGAAUAGCCAGGACUGUCGCUUUAGCACUCCUAGCUUCCUCAAAUCUUCGAGCUUCUUACAUUCUCCACAGCUUAUGCUAAUUUUUCAAGAGAAACAUGGGAGUCAUAAAGUUUUAGACGGAGCAGCUUGCUCAUCAUCAACUAUCCCUGCUUGAUCACACCUAUAUUUCUAACCGUCCUUUUGUAUUAAGUGCUUCUUUCGAUGAUAAGCUGUGCAUGUCCAUGGUUUGCCUAAGUUCAAGCCUUCAUAUUCUCAUCUCAGCUUCAAUAUCUCUCGGUAAGUCAAUGACUGGUGUUUAUUUGACGGUGAAAACCUUCUUGUCAAUGCGAAUGGUCGUCACGCUAAUGCCUGGUCAGAGUCGGUGUUUUCAACUUCGUUGGUUACGGCGAAGCUCGUCAAGUAUCACAUACUGCCAUCAAGAUAAAUCAAUUUCGGCAUUAAAGAAUAGAAAACCUUUCUUGAAAUGUUAUAGUAUAAGAGGUGUGGCAGAAGUAACAUACCACUACGACGGAGUUAUCCUUUGGGGACUCUUCCUCUAACUCCUCAAAAUAAUGUUUUAAGACAUAUAAAGAUCGCAACUUUCAUCAUCAACUAUAUAAAAGAAACUUCGGGGAAGAUUUUCUGAUAAUCAAGAAAUAAACAAAUGGAUCCCACUCAAACUGAAUGUUUGGAUUAAAAGCUUGGUAAUGAAUUUACGAAUAAAGCGAAACAGAAUCAACAGACAAAACAAUAAUCAUUGUCCAAUUAUUUUAAGAUAACAGAAGCUUAUGGAAUUUUUUUUUUUUGAUAAUAAAGACAUGAACAAAUGGAUCUCCAUUAAAAUAAAAGUUAGGUUUAAAAGUAUAAUAAUCAAUACAUGAAGAACGCAAAACAUAAUCAACAAACAAAACAAUUAUCAUCUCCCAAAUACAUAAUGAUUUUGACGGUGGAUUUACCUGAGCUUCGAGGAGGAGCAUGUCAACCCCAUUAGCUCGCUGCCACACUUCACACUCCUGUUUCCCAAAAACUAAGGAGGCGGACAUCGACGGUGGAGGGACAACCGCCGGCGUUGAAUCGGCAAGGAGGACAGAGGAGUUAGCCAUUUUCAAAGGUAAAUUUCUUAAAACGCUUAUGAAUGAGAAGAAAGAACAGACGAAUUUCAUGGGGCAAAACAUACCUUUUUAUAGCGGAAGAAUAUGAUGAUCGCAGUAAAUGGGAAAGCAAUGAAUGAUAGACCGUCAAUAGUCACUAAAAGAAAACAGCGGUAUUCUGACGGACAUUCCGACGGAAAAUGAAAUCCUCGGAAUAUCCCGAGGAAUUUCCGAGGAAAUUCCGAGGAAACACAAAAUUUGGUUUCCUCGGAAUUUCCUCGGAAUAUACCGACGGAAUUCCGAGGAAAUAUCAAUCCGUCGGAAUAUUCCGAGGAAAUUCUGAGGAAAAAUGUGUUCCUCGGAAAAAACCGAUGAAUUCUGAGGAAAUUUAUAGCCGUUGGAGAGCCGUUGGGGGGAUUUUACAAAAUUCCGAGGAAAUUCCGACGGACUAGCCGUUGGCGUCGGAAUUCCGUCGGAAUUUCCUCGGUCUGUCGGCAGGAUUUAAACUAUAAGUACAAGCAGUCCUCUUCCUCUUCAUUCACUCCAUAUCUUCAUCCUCCCUCUUACUCUAUUUACACACGAAUUUGAUUCAUAAAAAAUAUGUCUUCUUCAAAUUAUUUUCGUUCUUGUAUUGAUCGACCUCAUUUGGAUCCGAACACGAGAUUGCUUACGGAAGAAUACCAACGAGGUAUAACCGAAUUCAUGGGGUUAGUUCACCGACAACCGGAAGCAAAAACAGGUAUGUUAAGAUGUUCUUGCUCUAAUUGUAAAAAUAGAAAGACUAUUAAAGAGUGGGAUGUUUGGACUCAUCUAUAUUUGAGUGGGUUUACACGAAGUUACAAAAUUUGGUAUCAUCAUGGGGAAACUGAUUAUGAACAUGGUAGUACUAGCGAACCUAGUGUAUACCAAGCCCCAAGAUGAGAAAAUUUGAGUAGAUUGAGUGGUCAGUCAGUUUGAAUCCUUUGAACAUUCUUAAAAGCAUGAAUGUUGUUGGUUGAUCAAUGUUUGUGGCUUUUCCAUGUUUCACAGCCUGCAGUUGAUAGCUGAAAGAAUGGUACUCAGAUAUUAGUUAUUUGGUUUAUCUAGCAAGACAAAGCUGAAUACGAAUUAAAAACUACUCAAAACACAACCAAAUAAAACGAAGAAACCAUGUAAAAGAAAUACGAACUCAUAAUUAAGAAAAAAAAAAACUAAGUUCAAAAUUAACCGAAAAAGGUAUGGCAGAUUCCUAAAUGGAACUAUGACAAGUACCCUCCCCCAGACUUAGUUUACACCGUCCCUGGUGUGAAAACAGAAAAUAAGACCAUAAAACGUUAGAAUAGAAAAGAAAAUAAAAUAGCGCGGUCGGAAAUCAAAUGGCAAUACUGGCCAGUGAUAGCUCCUACUCCUCGUCUCCUGCUCCAGAUGUUCCUGCAUCUUUGGGUCUCUUGGACCUCUUUCUUACCCUGUGUGUACCACUCGAACCCGAACCAGAGCUGGAUGGAGAGUUGUCCCGAUGAACUACAUCAUCCUUUUGGCAACGACAUGGCCUGAUACGUGAAAUGGCAGCCCAGAUCUUGUGUAGCAUGUCGUUGUUUGUCUUUAUGCUCUGAUCUCUCCAAUGUUGUUGCUGGCGAAGUGGCGUUCGGUGGAAGCUCUUGCAGCUUGUACUGGCUGGAGUCUGAUGGAAGUAGAUGAUGGGGUUGUGAAUCAUCUGGAAUGGCUUGUGCAGCCUCAUCUUCUCCUUCUUCAUCAUCCACGGCCUUGCCUUUAGUCUGAUAUUUUGGCGUGAAGAAGGAUGGCUUGUCUACUAGUGCGGUAGCAAGGGGUAGGAACUCAACUGCAGCCUCUGAAAGUAGAGCAGUCAGGCCGACCUGAGGCAGGUGGCAGUAGAGUGUUUUCUUCGCUCGGUCCUGGAAUACGUAGACGUAAGGACCAUCCCGAUCGAUCCUCGAGUGGGGACCAGCUAUGAACUCCUUACUUACUAGAGAAAUGACAUCCAGGUAGUUUCAAGCAAUGUUGUUCGAUCUGUCCAGUGCUACCUGAUAAUUUUGUUUCCCGCACACGCAUCGAUCGAUGCGUUUUUGUACAAAUACGGAUCGAUCGAUGCGUUUAAAAAAAGGCUCCCGAGAUUUUGUUCGAUCCAUCGAUGGGAUAAUCUAAUCGAUCGAUCACAUUGUUACGCUUUGGUUAAUCUUAGUGAUCGAUCGAUGCGUUUUCGGACAUAUAUCCAUCGAUCGAUCCGUUUAUAAAAAAACUUACAAGAUAUUCCGAGGACAUUCCGAGGAACGCUUGAGAUUCUCGAUCGAUCGAUGGGAUAAUCUAAUCGAUCGAUCACAUUGUUACGCUUUGGUCCAUCUUAGUGAUCGAUCGAUGCGUUUUUGGAUAUAUAUACAUCGAUCGAUCCGUUUAUAAAAAAACAUAUGAGAUUUUGUUCUCGAUCGAUCACAUUGUUACCCCAAACCCUGUUUCCUCGGAAAAGCCUCGGAAUAUUCCGAGGAAAUUCCGAGGAACACCUGAUAUACUUUAUCGAUCGAUGCGUUUUGGUACAUAUAUCCAUCGAUCGAUCCGUUUAAAAAAAAAUUGACGUAUUGAAACCCCAAACACUAGUUCCUCGGAAUUUCCUCGGAAUAUUCCGACGGAAUUCCGAGGAAGAAAAGGGUUUCCUCGGAAUUCCGAGGAAAUAAGGUUUUUAAACCGAAAACAACGUUUUGCGGUUUGAAUAACACCUAUAUAACCCUUAUUAAGUGUCUUACGUUCAUUAUGAAGUCAAAAUUUUUUUCCUUACCGUAUAAUUAACACUUUUCCGAUUGUAUGAACGAAAUCACACAACAUAAGAGAAACACUUAUACCUUUUAAUGAACGGUAAAGGGAAUACUUUCAAUUAGUUUUGAAAUUUGUUAUUUCAUGGUUUAUGCUCAUCUAUACAAAGAAUCCUCAAUGGUAUGCAUUACAAUUGUAUAAGAAAUGAAAUACGGCAAAAAAAUUGAUGUUUUGAAACCCAAAACACUAGUUCCUCGGUAUUUCCUCGGAAUAUUUUCAUUUUACCGGGAAAAUAUUUCGCGAAAAUUGAAAUUAGAAUUCCGACGGAUAAUGUCCGUCGGACCCUAGGUUUUAUAACCACGAGCCCCUUCUUCUUCCCCAUUUCUCUCUUCUUCCUCUGCGCGACUCCUCUCUUCUCUCCGGCGUUUUCCCCCUGAAAUCCGACGAUAUCUCCGGCGAUCACCCCCUUCUCUUACACAAAUCAUGUAAGGACACUAUCCCACUCUCUUAGGUUCUAUUUGUUAAGUUUUUGUUUAGUUUUGAUAGAUUUUUGUUAGGGUGAUUGGUUAGGAUUGUGAUUUGGUUGUAUAAUAGGUUUAGAAUUGUUAUUUGGUUGAAUAAUUUGUUUUGUUGAAUUGAUUUAAAAAUUUUUUAUAANNNNNNNNNNNNNNNNNNNNNNNNNNNNNNNNNNNNNNNNNNNNNNNNNNNNNNNNNNNNNNNNNNNNNNNNNNNNNNNNNNNNNNNNNNNNNNNNNNNNNNNNNNNNNNNNNNNNNNNNNNNNNNNNNNNNNNNNNNNNNNNNNNNNNNNNNNNNNNNNNNNNNNNNNNNNNNNNNNNNNNNNNNNNNNNNNNNNNNNNNNNNNNNNNNNNNNNNNNNNNNNNNNNNNNNNNNNNNNNNNNNNNNNNNNNNNNNNNNNNNNNNNNNNNGGUCUCAUGAUGAUCAGACCCGGCCUCGACAGCAUCCUUAAAGGACAAGGAUGAUCGCAUAUCUUUGUUGGAGACCCAGAUGGCGGCUCAACAGGCGGGCUAUGAGGCACAGAGGAGGCUGAACCAGCAAAUGAUGGAGAUGAUGCAGAUAAUGUACCCGAACGAGGUUUUCCCGGACGUGCCAGACCCGCAGUUUUUUUUUUCCAAAAAUUCGGAAUGUUUUAUUUUUAUUUGUGAAACUUUGAAUAUUAAUUAAUAUGAUUUCAAUUUUAAUUUUAAUUUUAUAUUUUCGAAUUUAAAUUUCAAAAAUUUUAUUUUUAAAAAAAAAAUUAAUAUUUUUUACAUUCCGAGGAAAUUAAUUAUACUUUUUACUCGAUCGAUCGAUGCGUUUUUGGACAUAUAUCCAUCGAUCGAUCUGUUUAUAAAAAACGUUCGGAAUAUACCGAGGGACAUCUUCCUCGGAAUAUACCGAGGGACACCUUUCCUCGGAAUAUACCGAGGGACAUGUUCCUCGGAAUAUUCCGAGGAAGAUGUCCCUCGGUAUAUUCUGAACGUUUUUUAUAAACGGAUCGAUCGAUGGAUAUAUGUCCAAAAACGCAUCGAUCGAUGAACUUCCGAGGAAAUAUCCCGACGAAGUUCUCCCUCGGUAUAUUCCGAGGAGAUUUCCGACAAACUAGUGAUCCUCAGAAUUUCUUCGGAAAUUUGUUUCCUCGGAAUUCCGUCGGAAAAUUCCGAGGGAUUUCGGAGGAAAGAAGAAAUUCCGAGGAAUUAUUUCCGAGGACUUGUUUCGUCGGUAUGUCGUCGGAAUAACGUUAUUCCGAUGAAAUUCCGACGAUUUUUUCCCUAAGUAUCCUUGUUGUUUUCUUGUAGUGGUUGAUGCCUCAAUUGUAGACGACUCUUCGCUUGAGCGUAACCAGAACACGUUUCCAGUUUCUCUCAAUCGGGAAGAUGAAAAUGAUCGUGUAUCUAACGGAAUGAUAAAGAAGAAGGUGAAACAUCAUCACAGUCGAAACCCAAGAUCGAGUUUUCGUCUAAAACGGUGAAUGUGAGAUGGGUGUAACUCUAAUAGCAAAAAUGUUGUGUUUGGAUAUUCAUACCUGUUCACCUUGUCGGACUGGGCUAAUAAAAUAACAUUACGGUCCGUCAACAUGUAAAGCCCAUAGGAUCACGCUCUGAUUUAAAUGAAACAGAACGUUUAGAAAGAUGACACGUGUCGAGACUAUAGGACUCGAUUUUCUGACCUGGCACUGACGUGGCGCAACAGGAGGGAGACAAAAACAUUUAUAUAUAUAGACAGAUAGAUAUAGAUAGAUAUAUUCUUUUGAACGUUUUUUUCUUAUAUAUGUUAAAUUUAUUCAAAAUAAAUUUGUUUUUUUUACGGCAAAUGCAUCAUGUUUUUUGAAAAAUAAGGCACUUCAACUUUUAGCAAUCUCAAAAACCUAUCGUAUCGCGACCAACAUUUUAGAGGAGCGAUUCAAGAUAUUACUCGCUUCCCUCUUUUCUGUCGGCAUCUGAAGCUGAUGGUCUGUCUUGAAAGUGUGAAGAAGAUGAAUAUAUUGACAAAUUUAUAGCGGAUGAAAUUUGGCAUCAGCUCCGUGGACGCAAGGUAGAGGUUCAGUGGAAUAAAUUCUUCUGGUUUUCUCCAGGCAUUCCUCGCUAUGUUUUCAUUACUUAGCGACAGACUUGCAACAGGUCAUCGUACUCGACAAUAGAAUCAGACGUGUUUACUGUGGAGAAUCGGAUGAGACGCGGGAUCACCUCUUCUUUGCAUGUCCUUAUAUACUUUCAGGCUUUGGUUACGAGUGGUGGGGCAUCCUGUUUGGCCUGGACUGGGAUACCACAAUGCAUCGUCUACUCACAGGUUUGUUUGAUCGUCUCACCUUCAUCCUGUAGAGACUGGCCCUGCAGGUCACUAUUUAUUUGGUUAGCUUUUGUCUCUUAUUGGUUGAAGUUACCAUCUGUUAAUUGGCUUUGGCCCUUUGGUGGGGUUCACAACUACAGAGUAUUGACAAAUGCUUUUACGGUUCUCCAAGCAUUUCUGAUUUGUCUUGUGAUUCAGAUAACAAAACGUUUCUCCUAUUCCUUUGCGCAUAUGACUAAUAUGAAAUUAGGUCCACAUCACACAUAAAUUUUUAAAGUGUUAGAUGAUAUAGUUUACAAAGGAAACCUAAUGAACAAAAGUAGAUGUUGCAUUAGAUAUACAUUUUCGGUUGUAAUUUUUCCAAAAGAACAAAACACAAAAGCUCAUUUCCAACUCUUAAGCACAAACACGUAAAGUAGGUAAGUGCGUGGCUUAUGAGUGAAGAAGUAGUAGCUUCUUCAUGAUCCUAGUAAGUCUCCUCUCUUGAUGGUUAUGAAAAACUUGGAACAAACAUAACAGACCCACCUGGUAGUUCAUCGCUUACUUCACCGACUCUUUCGAGUUUUGAUUCAGAAGACAAACGCCUACCCGAAGCUGGAUACAGCUCGAAUUUACAGGAGAACACGUCUGUUCCUGGCCCAAUACAGCUAGCAUAUAUAAUUCGACCUUGAGGCAUCUGGAAACACUCCACAACAACAAUUUCUCCUUCUCCCCCUCCUCCUCCUUCUGUAGUCUCUUCCUUGAGAAUGAUCCUCUUACCACUUAAGGGUCUUAUAAACACUUGCGUUCCACAUUCAAACGUGUCUGAGGACUCGCAGUGUUCAUAUAAAUCCUUGAAGGAGCAAAUGAAGUCGCAGCUGCUAAAAGGGCAAGGACGGUGGGUGUAAGCACAGUGCUUUACAUGUGUUGAUGUUUCAGAAUAAAGGACAGUCUCGGAGCAACCAUCAUUUGGACAUGGAACUGUAAGUAGCUCGAGAAUCCGUUCCAAAGCUCUGUUGCGGGAAGCCAUGGUUAAGGAGCAUGUUGCACAUUUCUGACGCAGCUUUCCGCAGCAAGUAGAGCAUGCUACAUGACCAUUCUCACACUAUAUGUCCAAAAAUAAGAUUAUGAUUAAUAACUAACUAAUUUAUGAGAUGAGGAGAAGAGCAAUUCAGGGAUGAGAAAUGUUAACCUGAAAGAUGGGAAUGGUGAGAGAAUCGAAGCAAACGGGACAGUCCGUAGCAUCCAGAUCCAGCAGCGUCCCGGUGCGUUUUCUUCUUCUCCUCAGAUUCGGUUGAAGUACGUUGCCUCUUUUGCGAACUACUACUGUCGGUCAGUCUCAUCUCGUCCUCGGAGCAACCUUCCAUUUCGAGAUUGGCAAGGCUCGUUGUCCUUCUGACUAGCCAACCCCAGUUAAUAACCAAAGCUUAUUGUCCGGUUCUAUUUGGGCUUUUUAUUUAAUUAUGGGCUUUUUAUAAUUUAUGGGCUUUUUACUUUUUUACUAAACAUGUAGUAUUAUUAUUGAGCUAAUAAAUCAGCGUGCUUUUAGGCUAAAAUAUUCUCCACCAAUUUCGAAUCAGGUGAAUUUAAAUUUCUUUUGCACGUUAGUAGAAAUUGAUGUUAGAUAUGUUCGAAACAUCUGGCAGAAUACAGUUAUUUUUUUAAGUGUUGACAAAAAAAGAGAGUUAUUUUUCAAAUCUCUUUUAUAUUAUUUGAGGAGCACUCUUAUUAAAUAACCUUAUCUUCAUGUGAUUAACCAAAAUGCCAUUACUUAGGUGUCAUCAUUAGGACUCUUCUCACAACCUUACAUUAAAAGUCCUCCCUUGCCUAGAUCAAUUACAUGUGAUGCCAUUACUCAUUAUAAAUAGGCAAAAUUAUACUAUAUGUUUGGUAUAGAACCGAAAUUAUUCUAUCUGACAUCCAUUAGCUAAACCUGAAAUAACUCAUUUAUUUGUUUUAACCAAAUCCGGAAUUUUAUGUAGAUUCAUCUAUGGUAUAACAACUGUGUUCUAAAAUAAUCGUUGAGCCAUAUUUAAGUUUUGAAAACGUAUUCAUCAUGUACAUUGAAAUAAACAAAUUUAUGUUAUAUAAUGUAAAUUACACUAUAUUAAAAACUCGACAUUUCAAUUUCAAUGACCAAAACUUACUCAUUCACUAACACAAUAAAAAAUCCAUAUGAGGAUGACAACUACAAAAAACGUGUAAAAUAAUAUAUAACAGUUUGGUAAUAUCGUGAAAAAAUUAUUUUGCUAACAAUCACUGUUAUUAAUAAUAUAUAACAUUAGCAUAUACACUAAAGUUACGUGAAAGACAAAGGAACCAAAGACAAAAAAAGUAUCUGUUACUAAAAAUAUAUAACAUUAGGAUAUACUCAACAGUUAUGUUAUCAAAUAUGAACCAAUACGCUUACUAUAUCAAAACUGUUGUUGUCUUUGAUGAAUAUGCUUAUUGUAGUUAGAAGAGACCAGAUACACAUUUAGUCUAACGCAAUUUAGACAAUUUUUAAUAAUCUUAAAAACCUGAAAUAUUAUUUGGGUCUCAUUAGUAUGUACCAACUUGGAGCAGUGUCGAAGUUAAAUUCAAAAAAAAAUUGUAAUCUUAUAAAUUUUUAUUGCCAUCUAUUUUUUUUUUGAACAACCAUUGCCAUCUAUUUAUAUGUUGCAUCAACAGGUGUGUAAAAGGUAACUCUAUAUAUGCAAUGUUCUUUAUAUAUAUUUAUUAUAACGACAUUAUUCUGUAUACAUAUAUGUGACUCGUGUAGUAAUUAUAGUGUGUGUUAAGGAAAGUAUUUAUGUAAUAUGUAUCACUAAUUUAGCGAAAAUAAUUUGUGUAUCUUUGACUCAAUAUAGCUAUAUUAUCCUAUAUACAUAUAUGACCAUUGAUUAUAAUGUGUGUUAAGGAAAAUAUUAUUGUGACAUGUACCACUAAUUUAGCAAUUUAUUUAAAAUUUUUUGAUGCAAUCGUUUUUAUACUUUAGUUGUCAUAUUAUCAUCUAUAGUCGAACUAAUCAUGAUAAAUCACUGUUCCAUGUUUCUACAAGACCUUUGUGGAGAUUUGGUUGCUGUAAAUGAUAUUCAAUAUAUAGAAGAUCUGCAAGCAAAUGAUGAUUAUCAGAUUACUUUUAUUCGUAGACAAUUAUGGUUUUUUUUUAAAGAGUCAGAUUUUUUUUACUAAAACUAUUACAUAUAAAAGUAUGAGUUAUUCUUCUUCGACAACCACUGGAAUUUUAUUAUUUCAAAUUCGAUAUCUUUUUAAAAAGAAAACAAAAUAUUUUCAAGUUAUAUUAUAUUUUUAAAAUAAAAAAAUAAAAAAAUUGUAGUUACAGAAAAGAAAAUAUUAAAAAAAUAUUUUUUACGUCGUUAGCAGAAUACUAAACCCUAAAUCCUAAUCUCUAAACCCUAAAUACGAAACUCUAAACCCUUGGGUAAACCCUAAACCCUUGGAUAAAUAAUAAACUCUAAAUCAAAAACAUUAAACAAUAAAAUCCUAAAUCCUAAACCAUAUUAAAAAAAUAUUUUUUACGUCGUUAGCAGAAUACUAAACCCUAAAUCCUAAUCUCUAAACCCUAAAUACGAAACUCUAAACCCUUGGGUAAACCCUAAACCCUUGGAUAAAUAAUAAACUCUAAAUCAAAAACAUUAAACAAUAAAAUCCUAAAUCCUAAACCGUAAACUCUUGAGUGUAUUAGUGUUUAGUGUUUUCGGUUUAGAGUUUAUUAUUUAUCUAAGGUUUAGAAUUUACCCAAGGGUUUAAGUUUUAAGAUUUAUGGUUUAUACAAUAAGAUUUAGGGUUUAGUUUUUUUCCUGGCGAUGUUAAUUUUUUUUUGUAAUUAUUAUUUUUAUUUAUUUAUUUAUUUUUACCUUUUUAUUUUAAAAACAUAAUAUAACUUGACAAUAUUUUGUUUUCUUUUAUAAAAGAUAUUAAAUUUGAAAUAAUGAAAUCUUAUUGGUUGGUAAACCUAGAUGUUCACCGUAGGGGUGAACCCAAGAAUAAGUCUAAAAGUAUUAGUAAAACUAUUUCUUUUAGUCGUCAACAAACUCAUUUCUUUCAAUUCCUACACCUCAUCAAAUGGAAAAGCCCAAACAUAAUUUAUAUAUUGAUCUCUAUAUCAGACGUUACAUCUACAAUUAUAUAACAUGUAUAUAUUUGUUAUAAUGACUUUUACAUUUCAAAUAUAUAUAGAUUAAAAGUUAUAAAUUCUAUUUAAAUAAAUUCACUCUGCGCAGGGCACGGUAGAUCACCUAAGAGCUGAUAUUAUAUGUAUUUUAUGGGAUAUGUGACAUUCAUGUUAUGCAUGGACAAUAUAAACUCAAUUAUAUUGUAAAAUCAAAAUGUUGUAUAUAAAAAAGUUAAACCUAAUCUUGAGUGAUUGCAAAAUAAAAUCAAAAAGGAAUGACAUAAUAAAUUUCUUUGAAUCCCUUAACUUUUGCAACAAAUUUUUUUUUAUUACGAAAUUAACAUAAAUUGUGAUAAACAUUAAAUUUGGAAAUUUAUUUAAUUAUUUCCGGUUAAGUUUGAAGUCAAAUAUCAUUUAAUAUGAACUUCUUUUAAAUAUGGAGAUUUGUUGAUAGGGCCUUUGUCAAUUUACAAUCUAUCGAUUCGAAUUUCCCGAGAUUUGAGUCACUCGAUUCAGCUUCCAAUCUUCUUAGGUAUUGUGAUUGAGUUUAUUUCACAAAACAUGGAUAUCUCAAGUGACUAAGAGUUAACCCAAACCAUGUAUUUUGACUCAUAAUGAAUAUUAAGGUUUAAUAAUUGGUCUCUUUUACAAUUUCGAGUCCUAAUCAGUCCACUAAAUUAUAAAAUUCAUAUUAUUUACUUUUUUAACCUCAUAUUAUUUACUUCAAUUUAUUUUUAUUCUUCUACAAUUUUUAUGUACUCCAGAACCAAUAUAAUUUUAAUAAAAUAUAACAAUAUUUUUUUCUGGACAACUAAAAUAUAACAAUAUAACUUCGAUAUUUUAGUCUAUUCAUCCCGCGCAAGGCGCGGAUAUCACCUAGUACUAAUUAUGGAAGUGUCUAUUUUCUUAAUCUCUCAUUUCAAAGGUAAAGAUAUAAAUUACAGUCAUCAAUUUGGGAUAACAGUUGCUCUUCCGGCUGUUCCAAUUUUCCUGUGUACAAGCAUCCUAUUUGGCUUGUCUUAAUGUCCUAAACAAUUAGGUUUUUACUUUGAAUGUGAACCUGCUCUUGAACGAAAUAUCUUCAUGAUUUCAUUUCAUGUGUUUGAUUCUACUACUGUCUGGUUAUAAUGGUUAUAUGUUGUUAUUUUAACCACAUGUAAGAAAAGAGAAACGAUCCCACGUUUAUACUCAAAUUCAAGAAUAUAACACAAAUCCUCUCACAAUUCUAUUAGAUUGUAAGAAAGAAACUCAUAAAAUAUUUUAUAAAUAACAAAAGGACAAGUAAAUAGAGUCGAUCUGGAACAUAAAUAAACUAACGGGUCUUGUGGGGUUUAGAGAUUUUCUUCUUUCUCUUCUUGACAGAUUUGGGUGUCUUGUUCUUCCUAGCCUCCCUCUUCUCUUCUUUUACUUUCUUCUUGUGCUCUUUCCUUGCUGCUUUCUUGUCCUCAGGACCCAACUCCUCUUCACUCUCACUUUCACUUUCCUCUUCUUCGUUUUCACUUUCUUCUUCUUUUUCACCUCCUCCUUCCUCUAUCUUAUCUUCAACAUCAACCUUUACUUGCUGCUCAUCUACUUUAGGAAGAGCAUCCUUAAGCCCUGUUAUUGUUUGGUACAACAUGUCUCCUGUGUCCUGCCCGCUUGUUAUCUUCUCCACAUCAGCUUCCGGGUUCUUCACAGCGUCCAGAGACUUCGGUAUGUAUGACUGAUCACCAUAACAACCAAAACAAUUAAGAUUGAAAUAAUCUUUCAGACAUUAUUUCUAAUGACUAGCUAUAUACUUCACUUACCUUCAUGAAUACUGAAUCCGCGAUCUCAUCCUCUACGGAUAGCUCUCCUCGCUCUAUCACUUUCCGUUGGACCUGACAAAUAUUACACACUUCAUUAGUUUAGCUUAAACGUGGAGCUCCCACUGGUUAAUAAGUUACAUACCUCUUCCAAAUAGCUAUCAACAUUCUCGUCUGAAAUCGUUGGGUCCACUAUGAAGUCAAAUAGCUCCCUUAUGGUCAUUACAGCAACACCAUGUUUCUUGAAAAAAUCCUGCACGUGAAAUGUCGAAAUAAAACAUACAUGAGAUACACCAUUAUCCAGUCAAAUCAAGUAUUGUUAAAAUCGUCAAGCACUUACUGAAACGUGGUCACAAUCUUCCCGUAGAAAAGUGAGGGCAAGAGGAUGGUCCAGAUCCACAGAUUGUGAAACAUCAAUUAUAUAAAGGUGCCCCUGAGAAAAGAUCAAGAUAACAUCAAUAAGUGAGUCAUGUAAACCCAAAAGAGGUCCUUUAAGAACAAAUAUAACUCAGAACUCACCUCGAAAUAAAGUAUGUUAUACUCACUGAGAUCUCCAUGCACCAGUUUGCACUUCUGAUAUAAUGUUCUCAUUUGGAUUAUCAACUGUACACAAAAAAAAAAAAAAAAAAUAGNNNNNNNNNNNNNNNNNNNNNNNNNNNNNNNNNNNNNNNNNNNNNNNNNNNNNNNNNNNNNAAAAAAUCGAACGAAAAGAUGUCAGCAAACUUCCCAUUUAUGAUAGCAAUGAGACCAAUAAAGAGAUUAAGCCACUCGCAUGCCUCUAGAUAAGACUCGCGUAACUUGUCUAGUGAUAGUGCAGCAUCCUUGAGACGCGGUGCAGCCCAGCCAUCUCUUCCUGCAAAUUUAUAUAAUAAAAUAAAAAAAAAUCUUAAUUUGACUAGCUAACUGAAAUAUCUGUAUUUCAUCAUCUCUGUUUGAAACACCUGAAAAUGAUGAGAAUUCUUGAAUAAGUGACCAGAACAACAGAUAAUGCAUUAGAGCGAACCUAUAAACUCCAUGACUAGAACAUGAAGUCGUAGAAGUAUAGGAACUGGACAUCUAAUUCCUNNNNNNNNNNNNNNNNNNNNNNNNNNNNNNNNNNNNNNNNNNNNNNNNNNNNNNNNNNNNNNNNNNNCCUGCUGCCUGAAGCCUGCCAAUGAAACAUGUAUUAUAUAUAUUAAACCAAGGAUUAUGUUUGGAAAACAAGAUAUGUUAACCUACAGUAAUCAUGUUUCAUGCGUAUUAAGUGUACUACCAGGAUUCAGUUAUUCUAAUUACACUCAUAGUCUUAAUCUCCAGUACACACAACAAUAACGAAUUGUAUGUUCUUUUUUACCUCUUAAGAUUUCUGUGUUCUUUCUCAGCCCACGUCUUCACCAUCUUCCGGGGAUUAUGCUUACAGUAGCCAUGUCUGAAACGGUAAUCUCCUUGUACAUAUCGAUCUCGAUCCCUAGAAUCAUCAAAGUUGAAAACAACGUUUCACAGGGUCAAUAACAAUAUGGUCUCAAAGUCCAAAUUUUUUUGAUAAGAAAUGAUUAAAGAACAUGUAUUAAACUCACUUGAAGACCAGAACUGAUGUCUUGUACACUUUUAUUGCAAGCUCCGCACCAUCAAACUUUGUAGCAUGAUAAACAUUAGCCUAUAAAAGAGAGCGCUGUUAACAAACGAAUCUAUCUAUACACGUUGGUGGUGCUACUUAAAUAAUAAUUAUCGAAAAUGAGUGACAUACUUCUUUGCCUGUGGAAAUACAUCCAUUAACAUCAUUAAACACACCACGAUUAAGCAUCCUAAACAACACCAUACGUGUCCUCGGAUCAAGCGCCUGGUCAAAACAAAACAAACAACAUCAGCACAUUCAGACAAGAUUGUUUUUUUUUACAACAUAAGCACAUUCCGACAAGACUGUGUUUUUUCUAAAACUAAGAAAAAUUUUCACCUGUUCAACCGUCGCCCUGUCUGCUUUAUCAGUGUUCCUGCUCCUCCCGAUCUCCGUGUCUCUGAGACUCCCACGUAUCGCAGUCGUCACGGAGUUCGACAUCCCGACUUUAACUCUACCUUCCCACGCCUCCAACGGGGACGCGCGGACAUGGCUGGAAAGCUUCUGAGCCUUGUUAGAAAGAGGCUGAAGAGCGCCCGAGUUAGGCCUAGCUCCAUUUCCGCCGUGGGCGUUGGGACGACGAGCGUGCAGAGAGAAGCCGCCACCGAUGAGCUCGUCGUCGUCUUUGCCGUCUAGCCAGUCUAGAGCUUCACCUAUGUCGGAGUCUGACGAGAUAGAAAGAUCGGAGUCGUCGUCAUCGUCUUCCAUCUGCUCGUCGUAAUCCACAAUCGCCGGAGAGAUAGUCGGAGGCGGCUCUGCUAUAACUUCUUCCAUCUUUUGUUUUGGUUAAAGAGAAGCGGCGAGAAGGAUUCAGAAGAAGAUAUCGAAACCCUUUUUUCUUUAUUUAUCAGCUAGCCUAAACCGGUUUUCAAUUAAAUUGGUCUAGGUCUUUGGUUCGUGCUCGGUUUGAAAGUUUGGUCGAUUAGGCUUUAUCCCGUAACAAAUUCUAUUUGGUUAGAUUUGGUUUUGCUUGGGGGAAAAUCUGGAAUAGAGUAGUGCACACAUAUUUGUGUUGGCCCCCAAAAAAAGUGUUCCAAACAAAAAUAGCGAUUACUCAUUCUACAAAAUUAAUUUUGGUAUGUUCAGAUGUUUUCAUUUUGUUAAAGGGUUUGGUAUGUUCAGAUGUUUUUUUCGUUAAAAAGAUAAUUUUUAUUUAUUCAGUUUUGAUUGCACAAAUCUACCUUCGGUUCGAAUUCGAUGUUUAGUUGAUGAUUGUUGGUUUUGUUAUUUUAAAACUGAUUUGGGUUGUGUGGAUUCGGCUCCAGCCCUUUCGUUAAAGCAGUUGGGCCUCCAUGAUACACUAGAUAAUAAUGGGUCUAGACGACGAGUUCUAAUUACUCGAUGAUGUAUAUAUGGUAUGCCCUAGGUCAAGUGCUCAACACAGUUUGUGAUCAACAACAGAGAUCAGGUUUUGAAGUUGUAUAGGAGAAAGGAGGCGCGUUAAUAUAUGACAAAACAUAUAGAACAUAUUUGAGCAUAUUCUUGUUCUAGUUCAGAUUUUACUAAUAUAUUCUCUUGAUAAUCUAAACCAUCGUAGUUCUAUAAGUUAUUUGUUCUUGUAAAUUUUAUUGAUAUAGUGGAAUUAAGAGUAAUUGUCUCCCACGAGACAUGCUAGUUAGAGGCCGUGAAAUUGUUAAAGUUGCUUGCGUUCAGUUACUUACAAUACAAGUAAUAGUUGAUGGAUAAAGGCUUCGUUCAAUAACACGAGGCUAAAAUGUUACAAAGUGGUAUCAUAGCUUCUAGGUUGAAGACAUGUGAUUAAUCUAAACUAAGAGGAAGGUCAUAAUCAUAAUAUCAAACUUCUCGCUUUGGUUUUGUGUUUUUUCCAUCUUCGGCCAUAAAUGUCAACAAGUCAUGUUCAGUUAAAAUCUCUAUCAGGUUUCAGUUUGUUUUCCAAAAUUUUAGAUUUACAAAAGGUACGUACCUAAUUUAUUUGCUUAGUUCGGAUAACCAGAGUUUUUGAGGUCAUUUGGCUUUUAACCAUAAACCAUGGUUGUAUCUUUUAUAAAAUUUUCCCAAUUUUAUUUUAUAUGGUUACAUAAUAGUUUUUCUAAAAUAUUUUACUAAAACAGAGAAAUAAACUAAUUUAGUUUUGGUAAUUUUAAUAUAUCAUUUUAUCAUAUUUUGUGUGAACCCAAAUUGCAUUAUUUACACAGAGGUGUGGCAAUUUAAAGGAGUUAUAAAUAAUUAGAAAUAAAAAAGCAACAGUUAUAAAUAUGUGCUUAUUUAUCUAUAAAUAAUAAUAAGAAUAAGGUUGCUAUUUUUUAAUAUUACAUAUCAGUUCGAUAUUAGCGGCUUGAUCUUCGUAACUAGUUACUAGAUAAUCCCAAUUUCAAAAUUCUUUAUCGUUUAUCCAUGACCAACUAUUUGAGUUCACAAUAUUUUGUUUCCUUGAAGCCGAUUUAAAGAACUCUCUGAAGAUAUUGUAACAUCAAAUUUUUCUUCAGAGAAGUGAACAUUGUAAGCUACUUAAAAGGUAUCGGAGAAACAGUAAAUAUCUGUUGCAUUAUGACAUAAGUUCAUUUCUGUAUAUUCUGAGAGUAACCAAAUACCGUUUGAUUCAAAUCAGGUUAAUCAUACGGUAUUAAAUUAAUACUCGACUUUCGAUUUAUAAAUUUUUAUGUGUUACAUACAAAAAUAGACUUUGAUCGAAGAAAAUAUACAAAUGGACUUUCAUUAUAGAUGGAAAGUAAUCUUUUAAUUUAAAAUGGAAACAUUUUAUUUUGAAAAUACCAACUUUGUUAUUUAGUGUUCUUUAAUAAUGCAUACAUAUUUAAAAAAAAAUCGCAAUGAAUUAAAAUAAGUAUUUAAUUGAAAGCCAAAAAGUAUUCAAAAUAUUUCUUUGUAAACCUAAUAAAUAUUCUCAAACAAUUAACAAAAACUUAGUUAAAACUGCAAAUAUUCACUAAUUAUUAAUUAGUAUUAUCAUGUAUGGUAAAUAUUUAAAUAGACUCAUAAAAUUUUAGUCAAACUUUUCAGAUAAUUUAUUACUUGUAUUUAUUGCAGAAGUUUGUCUAAGGAUAUUGCAUUACUAUGGUAAGAAAAUUAAACAAAGGAUAAUAAUUAUGGUAGAGAAUUCAAAACUAUUAAAAUAAAUUAAACAACAACAUUAACCGUGUAAUAAAAAAAAUUAGAUUUUUCUGUAUAUGUUAUAUUUUGAAUUUUUAAAAACGACUAUAAAUUACUAAAACUGUUAAAAGUCUCACAUUCAAAUUUUGUGAUCUAUGUUUUAAUUUUUUUUAUGACAAAAUACAAAUGAUUGCAAAAUCAUAUAAGUAAAAAGUCUAAUUUAAUUAAUUAUAUACCACAUAAUACAUAAAUAUUUUAGUUUCAAAAUUUACUUUGAACAAUUUUUUUUAUAAAAGUUUUGAACAAAAAUUGACAACUUAUUUUUUAAAAAUUUACUUUGAACAAUUUUAAUUUAAAAAUUUAAUUUGAACAAUAUUUUUUGAUAAAAGAUUUGAACAAAAAUUGACAACUUAUUUUUUUUUAAAUUAUAAAUUACUAAAACUAUUAAUCAAUGAAAUUUUGUUAUGAAUAAUUUAAAUUUUUUUGUAUAAAAGAUACAAAUGAUCAAAAAGCCGUAUGAGUAGGAAGCAUCAUUUAAUAAACAUUAAUAUUAAAAAUAUACUAUGAAUGUGAAUAUCAUUUAAAUUUAGUUAUAUAUCAUAUCAAAUAAAAAAACAUUGUUUGGAAUAAUAAAAUUGAUUUAUAUUUUCGCACCAAUUUAAUUAUAUAUGUAAUANNNNNNNNNNNNNNNNNNNNNNNNNNNNNNNNNNNNNNNNNNNNNNNNNNNNNNNNNNNNNNNNNNNNNNNNNNNNNNNNNNNNNNNNNNNNNNNNNNNNAAAAUCUAAAAGAAUACUCUUCUAUCAACAAAAGUUUUUCUUAUCCUAAUUUAUAAAUCACAACCCCAAAUCUACAAUACUUAUCUAUAAUAAUGAAAAACUUUCCUAAAAUAGAAUUUUUAAAAAUUAUAUUUAAAAAAUACAAUAUAUUGAUAAAAAAAUCAAACAAAAUACUCUUCUAUCAACAAAAAUUCUUGUUAUCCUAAUCUCUAAACCAAAAUCCCAAAUGUACAAUAUUUCUCUACAAAAAUGAAAACUUUCUUAAAAUAGAAUUUUUGAGAAUUUUAUUUGUAAAAUACUACCUAUUGAUAAAAAAAUUUAAAAGAAUCCUCUUCUUUCAACAAAAGUUUUUCUUAUCCUAGUUUAAAAAUCACAACCCCAAAUCUACAAUAUUUAUCUAUAAAAAUGAAAACUAUCCUAAAAUAGAAUUUUUGAAAAAUUUAUUUAAAAAAUACAAUAUAUUGAUUAAAAAAAUCAAACAAAAUACUCUUCUAUCAACAAAAAUUUUUGUUGUCCUAAUUUCUAAACCAUAAUCCCAAAUGUACAAUAUUUCUCUACAAAAAUGAAAACUUUCCUAAAAUAGAAUUUUUAAGAAUUUUAUUUUUAAAAUACAACCUAUUGAUCAAAAAAUCUAAAAGAAUACUCUUCUAUCAACAAAAGUUUUUCUUAUCCUAAUUUAUAAAUCACAACCCCAAAUCUACAAUAUUUAUCUACAAAAAUGAAAACUUUUCUAAAAUAGAAUUUUUGAAAAUUUUAUUUUUAAAAUACAACCUAUUGAUCAAAAAAUCUAAAAGAAUACUCUUCUAUCAACAAAAGUUUUUCUUAUCCUAAUUUAUAAAUCACAACCCCAAAUCUACAAUACUUAUCUAUAAUAAUGAAAAACUUUCCUAAAAUAGAAAUUUUUGAAAAUUAUAUUUAAAAAAUACAAUAUAUUGAUAAAAAAAUCAAACAAAAUACUCUUCUAUCAACAAAAAUUCUUGUUGUCCUAAUCUCUAAACCACAAUGCCAAAUGUACAAUAUGUCUCUACAAAAAUGAAAAUUUUCCUAAAAUAGAAUUUUUGAGAGUUUUAUUUUUAAAAUACAACAAUUUGAUCAAAAAAUCUAAAAGAAUACUCUUCUAACAUUAAAAAUUUUCUUAUCCUAAUUUAUAAAUCACAACCCCAAAUCUCAAUAUUUGUCAAUAAAAAUGAAAAACUUUCCUAAAAUAGAAUUUUUAAAAAAAUUCUUUAAAAAAUACAAUAUAAUGAUAAAAAAAUCAAACAAAAUACUCUUCUAUCAACAAAAAUUCAUGUUGUCCUAAGCUCUAAACCACAAUCCCAAAUGUACAAUAUUUCUCUACGAAAAUGAAAACUUUCCUAAAAUAGAAUUUUUGAGAAUUUUAUUUUUAAAAUACAACCUAUUGAUCAAAAAAUCUAAAAGAAUACUCUUCUAUCAACAAAAGUUUUUCUUAUCCUAGUUUAUAAAUCACACCCCCAAAAUCUACAAUACUUAUCUAUAAUAAUGAAAAACUUUCCUAAAAUAGAAAUUUUGAAAAAUUUAUUUAAAAAAUACAAUAUAUUGAUCAAAAAAAUCAAACAAAAGACUCUUCUAUCAACAAAAAUUCUUGUUGUCCUAAUCUCUAUACCACAAUCCCAAAUCUACAAUAUUUCUCUACAAAAAUGAAAACUUUCCUAAAAUAGAAUUUUUGAGAAUUUUAUUUUUAAAAUACAACCUAUUGAUUUUUUUUUUUUUUUUUUUGUUUUUUAAAAUACAACCUAUUGAUCAAAAUGUUGUUUUGUAGUUUUGGCGAGUAAAAAUGUUUUUCCGAUUUUGGCGAGAAAAUAUGUUUUUUGCAGUUUUAGUGGUAAAAUGCAUUUUGCGUUUUUGGCGGAAAAUUCAUAACACAUGUCGACAUCUGUUCCUAAUAGAGUCCAUCUUUUGUAAAAUCUUUUUGACAUUUUUUUAGUAAAGAAGUUUAUACAUGAAACAAUCAUAUAACAAAUAGACUACCAGAUGAUAUUUACUCUAUUCCGCAUUGUUUUGACAACAAUCUGGAAUAAUGUAUUAGAAUAUAAAAUGUUAUGCACAUUACACCAAAUGUUUUGUACAAGGCAUUUUUUAGAAGUCGAAAAAGAAAAGAAAUUACUCUCUAUCCGACUUGAAGUGAGUUAACCUCUUUAGCAGAACCUCCACAAUACAAAAUUUCUUGAUCUACAAUCUAUUUCACUUUUCAAAUUAACACACCAAAACCAUGUACAAAAUAAAAAGACGAAUAUACCCCUUUUAAACAUGGUAGAUCAUACCAACUUCUAACGUCGACGCAUGAGGCGAGGUAAGUGCGGUUCUUGGACCUCUAGUGUUCCUCCUAAGAAACUCGUAUACAACGUUAAUAGCCACUCUCUUCACCAACCCUGACCCAUGCUUCGCUCUCAUAUACGCGUUUCCCAUUAUAUAAGCCACGCCUCCCUCACGCGCCUCCGUUAGCUCCAUCAACUCCUCUCUAGUCUCUUUCUCUAUCUUCGGAGUCUCCGGCACGAUAAACCUCACUUUCUUUUUAACCUUACUCUUCUUCUUCUUCUUCUUCCUCGCCAUGGGAGAACGAAUCUCUGACGUCCCGGGCUUAUCCGGAUCGUCAGAAUCGCUCCCGUCGUGAUCCUCGACCCCUUGCAUGUACGUCGAACAAGUUCCGACCACAGACAUUCUCUCAUCAUCAUCAUCAUCUCCAUUAGUCUCCGCAACGACCGCGGUCGCAGCUUCAGACCGGACAAACUCAGCGAUGCUGCACACAAGAUCUCCUUCGAACUCGAUGUCGUCUUUGUGGACGUCCCGGUACCCGUACCGCACGAUGCACCGGUACAUCCGGUACUGUUUCGGCCCCACGCGUCCGACCAGAAACAGCUCCUCGGGUCGGACGUGCGGGACCGGGACGGACUUAACGCAGAGGAAAACAAGCACUUGGUGGAAGGCAGGGAGGUUGGUGACGAAGUGAGAGAAGAUCGCCGGGACGCCGGAGACGAGCUCGGUGUGUAUGAGCCCGACGCCGCGGACGCGUUUGAUCCCCAGCGUCUGGCCGAGGCUGAGGAGCCAGUUGACCGAGACUUUGUUCUGCACGUCGAACUCGUAACGCUUGAGCGUCCCGUAGUGCCACGUGCACAUCGCCGCAAGGAAGCAUAAGGAGAGGGCGACUGGAACCCACGCGCCUUCGAGGAACUUGAUGAGCGAAGCCGUGAAGUAGAGCGACUCGAUAGUGCCGAAGAAAACAACGAAAGCGAUAGCGAAGAGGAUGUUCUUGUGCCAGCAGAGCACGAUCACUAGUGACAUCAGACAUGUCGUCACCAGCAUAACGGUUAUAACCGCCAAACCUAUAAAGAAAACAUUAGUUAGCAACUGUCUUAAACUACCUGAAGUAGGUGUUAAAGUCACAUACCUGAAGCAUUACCCAACCGCUUAGUGUCUCUAAACCCGAUGGUGACAGCUAAGCAAAGGACCAUCAAGAGCCAGUUGAUCUCAGGGAUGUAGAUCUGACCGUGGAUUUUCGACGACGUAUGAACAAUCUUCACUUUGGGGAAGCAUCCCAACGCAGAGCACUGUUUGAUGAUGGAGAACGUUCCGGUGAUGAUGGCUUGGCUUCCAACAACAGCAGCGAGUAUAGCGAUCACAAGAACAGGCCAUCUCAGUUUCUCUGGCACAGAUACAUAGAACCCAAUGUUGUAACUGGUGUCGAUGACAUGAUGCUGAGAUAGAUAAGCUGCUUGUCCCAUGUAAGCAAGUAUCAAAGACGGGUAAACAAGUGAUGUAAAAGCAAUCUGCAAUAAGAAAAAGAUCCUUCAAUAAAACUUCGAAUAAACAAAACAAAAAAAAACUAAUUUAAAAAGUCUAGACGCCCACCCAGGCGCGCUUAUAAGCCUCUGGUCUAGUUACGGUCUAGCGAUUUCUUGAACAUUACCUUGAUGGAGAGUUGAGAGAAAUGACCGAGAUCAGCAAACAUCGCUUCUGAGCCUGUAAUGCAGAGCAAGAUCCCACCAAGGGACAUCCAACCUCUGCUCUGAGUUUUCUUGAGAAAUUUGUACAUGUAAUAAGGAGAGAGGGCUUGGUACACAUGCGGGUUCCAAUGGAAAAUGUUGUAAACACCGAUGGCGCUUAUGCACAUAAGCCACAGCAGAAUCACCGGAGCGAACAAGAACCCGACUCGGUGUGUACCGUAGUGCUGGAGCGCAAACAAACCUAUCAAAAUUACACAAGCAGCAGGUACUUCUAUAUCUGCACAAGCAAACAAAAAACAGAGAAAAAAAAAGUUUCAAACACAAUCAGAAUAACAUUUAUUACAAGAUCAUGGCCGUUACGGGUAUAUUUAGACAAAGAGUUGAUAACACAAAGAUCCAAAUGUUUAGUUUUGGAUAAUAUUGUAUAUAAACAGCCACUUGAUAAGAGCAGAGAACAAUCCAAAACGCUUAUUCAAUAGGUAUGGGGCCAUCAAAACAAACCGGAAAGUGAUGCACUAUACGUGUUACGUGCAAAACAAUGUCAAAGCAAUCUAAUAAACAGAUGGUGGGAACAACGGCUGCUGAGUAAAGAAACCGAUGACUUUCUGAAUAGCAAAUGCGAUAUCACAAAGAUUUAACGUUUUGAGAUUGAAACUAAUCAAGAAAAAAAAGAACUUACACUUGUGAUGCUCCUUGGCCGUUGAAAGCUCAACACCUGAUACUGCAGAAAAAACUGUAACAGACAACACAAAAGAAUGAACAGUUGAUCCUGUCCUUGUCAGAGAGACAAGACAUCAAACAAGAACAAGUCAAAGUAAACGACUUUUUAUCUAAAACUCACCGGAAAUCGCAGGCGUUAGGACACCAUCACCAAUCACCAUACAAGUCCCGAUCAAAGCCAGCACGAGCAAAACCUUCUGCAGCACUCUCCGCUUCUCGAGCGUCGACUUCAACCUCGCCGCGAACCCCGACGGAGGGCCCAUCUCCUCCUCCGACGGCGACUCGGUCUUGUACUCGGCGAGCUGCUCGUCGGCCAGCUGGCAGCUCGGGAGCGAGUUGACCCGGGCGUGACGGCAGAGGAGGGAGUAGAGAGCGAAGGUGCCUCCUUCGCCGUUGUCGUCGGCUCUGAGGACGAUGAAGACGUAUUUGAAGAGAGGGACGAGGGUGAUGGUCCAGAAGAUGAACGACAAGACGCCGAAGAUCUCUUCGUUGGAGUCGGAGUGUUCGAUGUCUUCCGCGAAGGUGCUUUUGAAUACGUAAAGAGGAGAGAUGCUCAAGUCUCCGUACACGACUCCUAAGCUCUGAUAGGCUAAUGUCAGCACCGUUCUCCAUGAUUCCUUCUGCAAAAUCAAAUUAAAAGGUUUCGUUUUUAAGAAAAAAAGAUUCGGUGAAAACAAGGAUCGAUCUUUGAAUCGGUACCUUGACGGUGUUCUGAUAAGUUCUGGAUUCGAUAUCCAUGGUGGGUUUCUGGGGAGACUCAGGAGUUCGAGAAGUCCAUGAAUCCUUAAGAGAGUAGAGAUGUUAAAAAAAGCGAAUCUUGACGAAGCAAAUUGACUUCAGGAUUUUGUUUUUAUUACCAGACAGAACUGAACUGUUUUGAGGGACAGAGAAUGGUUAAGGAGAGAAUUUUUUUUUUUGAAAAAGGAAGGAUCCUAAAAGAAACAAAAGGCGAGACUUUUAAGAAAAAGAGAUCCGACUUUUUUUUUUUUUUUGGGUCAUGGUUGUUGUGUUGGGUUAACGAGUUUUUGAAGUUGAUUAGAGCAUGAUUAAUCCGGAUUUUAAUUUAGAGUUUUUAAUUUAUGAUUUGACAUAAAUUUUUUUUUUUUACAUUUUUCGGCUAAAAAUCAACUCUUAUAUCUUUUUAUUUACGAAACAGUUCUUAUCUUUUCUUAGUUAAAAGCUAAAAAAAAACUAAAAAAUCGUUUUUAUCCGAAGCUAAGAAUUUUACAAACCUGGGUUAAUCAAGUUCUUGCUUGAGAGAAAUAUUAAAUUUUGUUUUCGGCUCUCGAGGGGAUAUGUAUAGACUACUUCAAAAAUUGAUUAGUCAAACUCUUUCCAUAUGCUGAUAUUUAUUGAUAGUAAUCAGGUCUGGAUUUCCAUUUAAAUUAAAACUGAUUCUCUGAAUGUGUAUUUUUACCCCUGUUCGGAAAUACGCUAGGCGCUAGUCGGGCGGCAAUCCCGGGCCUAGCGAUUUAUCGAAAAUUCGGGGAUUAAUCGGGAUAUACGCGGGGACUAAUUUUAUUAUUAUUUUAUUUAUUAUAAUAUUUAAAUUAGAUAUAUAAUAUAAAUAUAGUAGAAAGUAAUAGUUUUUGGUAUGUUAUUAUCGAAAUUUAUAUUUAUUUUGUUUAACAAAGACUAAUUAUUAGCAAAGAUGAGUGUCAUAUUUUUAUUUUUUAUUGAAACAAUGUUUAUAUAUAAGGAAAUAUAUGCAUAAACAUCAAAACACGCCUUGGUCUGCUGGUGUUUGAUGAUGUUGAUGUUGUAUAAGGUACCGGGUUCGAACCUCAGGCAUGGCUUAUCCAAUUUUAGGUAAAAAAAUUUUAGAAACAUACAAAACAGAGUCCCACAUCGGUAAACUUUAAAGAGGGAAGCUGAUGUAAACGCCUAUAAGUAGUCAUUCAGAGUUGGUUUCGAAAAUUGCAUCAGGGUUUCAAUCUAUAAGAAGCCCAAUACUUUAAAUUUGUUCGGCCUUUUAGACGGUUAAAAAUCGGUUUCAAACCGAUUAAUCGGUUAUUUGACCGACUUGUUGGUCAACCGAGUAGUUGAGCCGUAUUGGCCUUAUUCGCCGCGGUUGCUUACCGCUGAGCGCCGAGCCGGACGCCUACUCGGCUAGGCGUCCGAGUUUUAGAACAUGGAUUCUUACUAUAUACUACCAAUUUUUUUUAAAAACGGUGUAAUUAUGAGGAAGAUUAAAAUGGGGAAAAGGUAAGUGCGUUGAUUGUGAAAAAAAGGACAAUAUGUGGUGCUUUGAUAAGUGGGAUACCGAUUCAUAUAGUUUAGGCUUUCUAUAAAGUGAAUUAUCACAUGAUUUCAAAGAUAAAUGUUAUGUUCAACUUUGAAGACAAGAUUUUAAAGAAAAAGAAGAAAUUACUUAUUGUUGGGUCCGGUUUUAGUCCACCCCAACUUUACUAAUUGUAUUGAUUUAUUUUGGUUUUACGAAAUCGUUUCGGAUUUAUAGUUUAAAUAUUUCACUAGAAAAUAAUAUUUGGUAUCUCCAAAGAUGGAAAGUAAACAAUAUAGUUAGAAAGACAAGAACAAAAAAAAUGUAAAAUACAAAUUUCGAUUAGAAAAUUAUGAAUGUACAGCAUGAAAAUGCCGCAAACCGUCGGAUCUUAUUGUCAACGUUAGGUUCAAUUUAUGAGAGUUUUGACACAUGUUUUGUCUAUCGCCUAAUGUUCGAUAUGCCAGAGUUUGGAAUUUAUGAAAGUGGACGAUUGUGGUUAUGAACGUUACUCCAUUAAAUUAUUGUAAUAUGGUUAACGCAGCGGUAGAAAACAUGUAUGAUUGCGAUUUCAUUUUUAAUUUUAAAACGAUUGGCUAUAGAAAGAGAGCUAUCAAUUUAUUUUAAAAACAAGAGAGACUUAUCAAAUGUUGGGCUUUCAAGCUAUGGUUAAGAGCCAAAGUUUUCUUGUUUGCGAUAUCAUUUUAAAUUUUCAACUAUUGGUUAUAGAAAGAGACUUGUUAACAUGUUUGUCCUUAAGUUAUAAACUAAAAGGCAACAAAAUUUUGUUUACCCCAAAUAAUAUUAAUAAAACUUGGAGACAAUUGUAUGAUAUCGUUGAAACUUGAAACCGCUCAGCAGCAUGGGCGGUGAGAACAAACCAUAUUUUAAAAUCAACCCACAACAUAAAAUAUGAGUUUUAUAGUCAAAAAUAAUGUUUGGUGUCCUCUUUUUUUUUGUCAACUUUUUAUUUUUAUUAUCAUAAAGUCCAUGAAAUUACAUAACUUAAAGACCUAGUUCUAGCAUCUUUGGGUAAAGCAUCAACAUACAUAAGCAAAGAUCGUGGUACAUAUAUAAUGGAAACUAAAAUAUUUUCUGCUUUAGUCAUAACCUUAAUGUCUCGCAGCAAAGAGGAUGCCUCCGUGAUACGGACUUCUUUGAUGGUUCUUUCAGUGGAAAACUGAUUCAACUCAUCAACCAGACACUUGCAGUCACUAAGGAAAAUGUUUGGUGUCCUCUUUCUCAACUAUUUGGUGUCUUUAAAAGUAAAAAAAAAGUAAAUUAAUAUUAUUUAGGGAAAUAAUUAAGUGAAAAUAUGGAAAAUGUUUGGAUAUAAUUUAUAUAUAUAGUAAAUAAGAAUUUACAGAUGAUUGAAUCAGUUGUGAUUUUAGUGAAACAGCAAAUGAAUAUACUGUAAAAAAUUCUAUAAAUUAAUAAUGUUAGAAUUAUAGUAUUUUAUUAAUUUAUAGAGUUAGUGAUUUACAAUUUUUUUUUAGAUUUUUAUACUUUCAUAAUAUAUUUUUAAUAAGAAAAAUAUUUGAUUUUAUUGUACAUAUAUUAAUUAAAUUUUAGAAAAGUGACUUUUGUAUCGUUUUUCUUAUACUAUUUAUGUUUCAUAUAAUUUAAUAUGGUUUUUGAUAUAAUUUUACUAAAUAUUAUCAAAAUAUAGUGAAGUGUUAAAAAUAGAGAUGAACUCCACUGUGAAUAUAAAAUAAAUAAUACAAUUUUUUGUUUUUACUUAUAUAAAUCUUAUAUAAAAAUUAUUAAUAUGUGAUUUUAGUGAAACUAUAUAUUUACAUAUGUUUUUUUAAAAAAAUAUUAUAUUAUUAUAUUAUCGAUUUGUGUAAUAUUUUAAAAUAAGUUUUUAUAGGAAAAAAAUUAAAAGGGUAUAUCCGGAAAGAUUUAAAAACAAAUGUAACAGAACCUAUAAGAUAUUUGAAAAAUAUAGCUUGUUUCCAAAGAUUAUCUGAUGUUUAAGUCAAAUGAUUUCUAUGAAAUAUAAUUAUCAAAAAGAUGAAAAUUAACUGGAAAAUGUUGUCCGAAAUUAGGAUUUCUAUCUUUCUUUCUUUUUCACUGAAAAUAUUAGAUUGAAACUUGAAAGAUACAAUACAUACAAGGAAGAAAACUAAACCGGCAGAGAUUAAGAUUCCUAUCUACCAAAUGUGUUUAGUUUUAUGUAAAAGGUUGUCCAUCAAAUUAUGUCUAUGGUUGUACUUGUAUGGUGAGACUAUCUGUACAUACCUGAUACCUAUUAAUACUUAUGCUCCACGAGUCGAUGCUGAUUAAAUUAACGUUCACAAUUAAUAAAUGAUUGAAUAUGUUUUCAAUACUAUUCAUCGACCACACAUAUAUUAUAUGAUAUCCAAAAACACCCAUGCGUUUUUCACUUAAGCAGCCAUCUAUUUAUCAGAAUUAUAUCUAAUUUGCUUUUAGCUUCGAUGGUGGAAUCUAUAACAGAAUAAUUCCCUUUAGCAACCACUUUCUAAUUUGGCUAAAGUGGUACAACACCACUGAAUAAAUAAAUCAUGUAAAAUAUAAUUCAAUUUGAGGUUUUACACAAUUAUUUAUGCUUCUCUAUAGGGAUCCACAUAUUCGUGGAUAAUUCUAUUUAAUUUAUUAAUUAAGAGUUCUACGGAAUUAAUAAGACCAUACAUGUUAAACUCAUAAAGCUAAUAUAUGGUCUUUAACUCUUUAUAAUCUUUCGCUUUAUAACAAAGUAUCUCAUUAAAAAAAAGUUAUACUGCCGUCUUCUUUUUGUCAAUUUGAUUCGCUUCAAUUAUUCGAAUUUUUAAUCAAAUUUUAUAGUAAUUUGGUGUAGUUGUUUUGGGUGAUGAUGUAAAGUUAAGCGAACGAGUUUCAAAGAAAUAAAUGAAGCGAACGUACGAGUGUAGUUACUAGAAUUAACGUCGAACUGACCCACACGUGCAUGGAAUUAAUAUCAAGAUCAUGACAGUUAGAAACGUUUAUUACGAUUUCGGUUUGUUGCGAACCGGAAACCACGUUGUCAUUUCUGGACACAUUCUUAACCAUUCUGGAAUCACCGGUUUAUAUGGCGUGUGAUAUUGGACAUACACGUGUGCAACGAACGUGAAGUGCUCUCCAGUUCCUGCAGGAUCACAAACAAUAAUUGUCAUUGAUUCGAUUCCUUCUUAUCUGCUCAUAUAUAUCAAGACACAUAAACUGUCCUGUCCAUUGCAUGAAUUUAUAAGUUAGAAAAAUACUCGUUGUUGACGGAAAAAAAAAAGACUUGUUUUUUUUUUAAAUCACCUCAAUUUUAUAGGGUUUUUUACAAAUAUGACUCAAAACUUGAAGUCAAACACAAAAAUAACCCAUGUUUUUUUUUGGAACUUUGACUUGCCUCUUUCACCUCCAAAGUUCAGAUUAUUCACGAAAAUGCCAUCACUUUUUUUUUUUGAAAAUGCAUAUUUUAUUUUAUCACUCUCAUCUUCCUCAAGUAUUCACAAUAUUGUCAUUGCCAUCAAUACACCAACAACCAUGAACAACCAAUUUGAAACUCUUAAUGCACCUAAAAAUCGAUUUACACUCUUUAUUUUUUAAUUCUUAUGAACCAAAAACAACAUCUCUUUACUUUCUCCCCAUAUUCAUCCAAAAAAACCCAAGAUUUUUAUUCUAAAAAUUUUAUGGUUCAUAGAGCCAUUGAAGCUUACUAUUCUUGGUGAGUAACUUUUGUUUGAGAUUCUGGGUGCUUGGAGAAGACUUUUGUGUGCUAAACAAGUUAUCUCAAUGGUUGAAACUAUGAAAUUAGUUUUUUUUUCAGAUAUGUUCGUCCAAACGACUUCCGAGUAAGUCGUCUGGCUGUAGACGACUUACAUGGAAGUCUUCUGGCCAAUGCAGAUGUUAAUUUUCCAAUUGACUUUUAAAUGUGUUUUUCUAGACGGCUUACAAGGAAGUCGUCCAUCUUUGUUUGUUAAAAAAAAAUCGAGACGACUUCCAUGAGUCUAAGGUAAACGAGUUAGUUUUGCAUUUGACCAGAUUGUGUCAGAAAUUUGACUUUUCUUGGACGACUUACAUUUAAGUCGUCCAGUAGAAAAUUUAAAAAUCAAUAUUUUGUUAUACCUAAACGACUUCCAUGUAAGUCGUCUCAGGUUAGUUUUGCAAUUGAAAAAUAAAACAAAAAAAUACUUUUGUCUAGACGACUUACACGGAAGUCGUUCAUCAGAAGGCUUCCACGAAAGUCGUCCAUAAUUUUAUUCUGAGAUUCUGGUCAAACCUUGCUUAUCUUGGACGACUUCCGUGUAAGUCGUCAGACGGACGACUUCCGUGUAAGUCGUAUAGAAAAAAAUAAUUCUUUUUGUUUUACUUUUCAAUCGCAAAACUAAUCUGAGACGACUUACUUGGAAGUCGUCUAGGUAUAAUAAAAUAUUGAUUUUUUAAUUUGCUACUGGACGACUUCCAUGUAAGUCGUCCAGGAAAAGUCAAAUUUCUGACACAAUCCGGUCAAAUGCAAAACUAACUCAUUUUCCCUAGACGACUUACAUGGAAGUCGUCUCAAUUUUUUUUUAACAAACAAAGAUAGACGACUUUCAUGAAGUACAUGUAAGUCGUCUAGGUUAAAAAUCAAUUGCAAAACUAACCUAAACGGACGACUUCCUAGAAGUCUACCAGACGACCUCCGUGGAAAUCGUCUGCGUCAAUGUUUAAUAAACUUUCAUUUUCUCUAAAACUAUAAAGACUUUUUAAUUUAUUUUGUUAAUUCAUGUAUAUUAGUCAAUAUUGGAGCUACUGAAUGAAAUUUAUAACUUAAUUGGUGAUAUUUAUAAGGUUACCAACAUUCAUGCUUAGUAAAAUUUCGAGCUAAUUGAGAAGACUUCUGUGUAUAAUUGGAAGUCUUCUACGUUAGUUUUUGUAAAUUUGUUAAGUAACUUUAAGAUAUAUUUAUUUAAUUUUCAAAAGUGUUAAGUAAAUUCAAGAAUAUCAAGUAACAUGGUUUAGUGUGUCUUCUCAGAUCAUAAGAUAUAUUUUUUACUUAUGUAUCUAAUGAAAGUGUUUUAACUUUGAACUUAUGUAAUGUUUUAUCUUUUGUGGAUUUGACUAAGUUUUCUUGAGAAUUCUUCUCCCUUAGUAGUAAUAAAUUUGAUUAAUUUUUUGUGUUAUUGUGUUUUGCUAUUGAAGUUGUAUCAAUAACUACAAUUAUGUCAAGUAAUUCUGGCAAGAUAAUGUCGUGGAAAAUGAACAUAUUUACCAAUAUUUUUCAUUAAUAUCUCUUCAAAUUUACAAGUCACAACUAAAGGAGUACACAUGCAAAUCACAGAUCAGACCACAAACAAAACUAUUAUAGAUCAUUCUUCUACAAAAACAAGCUUAGACUCCACUUGAUAUAGAAGAAGUCCCCGUCAGAAGACUUCCUGUAAGUCGUCUGGAAGACUUCUUUGAAGUCAUUUGGAAGACUUCUAGGAAGUCUUCUAGCGCAUUAUAUUUUAGAAGACUUCCGAGAAGACUUUCCAUAAGUUUUCCAAAGUCUGAUCCAGAUCUGAAAAACAUGUAUAUCAAACCCAGAUCUGAAAAACCUGCAUAUCAUAUCAAAAACGUUUAAAUGGCUUAAAACAGAGAAAAUGAGUGGAAAAUAGAUAGGCAUACUUUUAUAGAACACACAAAGUACAUAUCCAAGUAGAAGAUGAGAAUCAUCUGAUUAAAACCUGCAACAAAAAGAUAGAUUAGUGAGAAAGACAUGAGAAAAAAAUGAAAAAUUCAUAUAAAUUUUAGUGUUUUCAAGUCAAAGAGAUUAGAGUGGGUUUGAAGAGUUUUAGUUAGGGAAAAAAUAUGAAUUUUAUGCAACAGAAUGUUACCAAAUGAAGAAAAAUCAACAUAAGAACUUAUCAAAACGCUCAGAUAUAUUAUGAAAGGGAGACAUGGGGGAAGACUCCGUCAGAAGACUUCCUGGAAGUCGUCUGGAAGACUUCCUGGAAGUCGUCUGGAAGUCUUCUAGCCCAGAAGUCUUCCAGAUCUGAAAAACCUGCAUAUCCAAAUCCAUAUCUGAAAAACAUGCAUCUCCAAAAACGUUCAAAUGGCUUUAAAACAUAGAAAAUGAGUGGAAUAUUAAAUAGAUCUACCUUUAUAGAACACACAAAAAUACAUAUCUAAAAUUAUUAAAUCUACCUUUAAAUGAGUGGAAGAUGAGAACCAUGUGAUGAAAAACCUGCAAAACAAGAUAAACUAGUGAGAAAGACAUGAGACAAAAACAAUAAAUUGAUAUAAAGUUUGGUGUUUAUAAGUUCAAAGAGAUUAGAAAUAGGUUGGAGAGUUUUAGAAUGAGGAACAUACCAUUUUUGUUGCAGCCAUUUGAGAAGAAGAGAGAGAAUGUGUAAAUGUUUUGUUAUAUAUGGAGACAAAAAUUCCAGUAAGAUUAAAUAUUUUCGAUCAGAAGACUUACUAGACGACUUACUUGUAAGUCGCCCAGAAGACUUACAUGUAAAUCGUCUAGACCCUAAACAUAACCCCUAAACUAAAUUAACUAAUUAAACACUUCAUAAAAUCGAAUUAAACUUUAAAAGUGUUUACUAUACACAGAAAUAAUCAUAUGUAGAUAAUUAAUUUUCAAAAAACAUUUAAGCUUUCCAAAAUCUAACCCUAAGAAUACAUACAAUACUACAACAUAUGUUGUCAAACCCUAGACCAAAGAAUAUCAUGAUUCACUACUUUCACUCAUCUAUGUUGAAAACAAUUUAAUUUUAUUAUAUAUUAAUUUAUAUCACUUAAACUGUUUAUAAUUACAUGAUUUUAAUUUUUCGCUUAUCAAAAUAUUUCUUACAAAAUUUAUAAACUAUUUUUAAGAUCAACUAUACCAGACGACUUCCAUGGACAUCGUCCAGAAGACUUAACAGAAUCUCAGAAGACUCAGAAGACUUAGCGGGAAUAUAUUCAUAAAAAUGAGUUCUGUUUUUUUGUUUGGUCACAAUGAGAUGGCUGUAAUUUCACAAAAUUUUUGGGUUACUUUUGAAUUUGAUUCAAGUUUGGAUAUACUUUUGCGAUCAAAAUCAAGUUUUGAGUCAUAUUUGGUAAAUCUCUUUUUUUUUAUAUAUGGAAUUUGUAAGAUAAUUAUACAAGAAGUCAAAAGUUCUGCAAAAGCAAUAAAAGUCAGCAGAAUAAGUAAUUAUCUUUGAAAACAAAACUGAUUAAAAAUAAGUGUUUUCCCUAGAAUCAAAACCUAUAAAAGAUAUGAAAACACUUAAAGAAUACUACAUAACACUAUAAACUAAAAAAAAAAACAAUCGCAACCGAUAUUACAACAAAACCAAACGAUUUAUGUUCGAAAUUUUUUUUUUAACUAAAUAAUGAGUUUAUGUUCGAAAUUUUGGUCGAUAUUCAUCGUAUUCUUUGCAAUGUACAAUUACAUUUGAUGUUGUAUUUAGUUGUUCUUAAAACCAAAAUUAAAUGCUAUCACUGACUAUAUGGAAUGAGAGAAGAUAAACAUGCUCUUUGGCAAGAAUUCUCCCCAAACGCACCACAUGUUAUGUAUUUGGACCAGCGUUUAAAAGUUUUAAUGGCAGUAUGGCACAAACAAAAUGACCUACCUUACAGUGGUAAUCGAAAUUAAUUUGCACAACCUCUUUCUCUUAAAUCCUCGCCUAACUACCACUAAAUACGCAAUAGAUAACGAGCUUAUAUAUAUAAGACAUCAUCUAACACCAUAAAUGCAUGGGUUAACUUGAAGAUCAAUUUCAACUAGGGGAGGACGUGAUUCGUCUUCUGUGUAUUUAAAAUAAAUCUGAUUAUUAAGUAUAUAAUAUGUAUGGUGGGAUAAACUAUUUGAUGAUUGUUCAACUCACAAUGUAGUUUCCUACUUUUGUAAGGUAAUUGUUCUUUUGUCGCUGCAUCUCCGAGUUUGCGUCAUUGCCAUAUUACAUAUGUGAUUACGUGUACAUAUGUGAUUACGUUAACAUCUAUAAUUUCGAUACUUAAUUGGUUAGAUAUUGACUUAUUUAGCCGCCAGUAAUGUUAUUAUUUGGUGGAGGUUUAAGAACAAACUUAGGUUCACCCCUAGGAUAAAUCUUUAAAUUCAUCUCUUCUUUUGUUACCAAUCAAAACGUCACCUAAAUUAAUAAGAAAACAGAUUAAUUUUAUUUAAAAAAUCUGAAAUAAUUGAAAAAAAAUAACGUCAAUUUUAAUGAUGCUAACGCCACUACCUAAACCUUAAAUUUUAAAUCUAAACCCUAAAUACUAAAUUCUAAACUAAAACUCUAAACCUUAAAUUCUAAACUCAAAUCCUAAACCCUAAACCCUAAACCCAAGCCCUAUAUCCUAAACCCAAAUCCAAAACCCUAAAUCCAAAACGUAAACCCUAAACCCAAACCCUAUAUCCUAAACCCAAAUCUUAGACUCUAAACUCAAACCAUAUACCCAAACCUAAUCCCUAGAUCCUAAACUAAAAUCGUAAACCCUGAACCUAAAUCCUAUAUCCUAAAGGUUUGGGUUAAUAUUGAUGUUGUUUCUUUAGGGUUUAAGGUUUGGGUUUAGGAUCUAGAGUUUGAGUUUAAGGUUUAGGAUUUGGGUUUAGGAUUUUGGUUUAGAGUUUAGGGUUUGGGUUUAGGGUUUAGAAUUUGGGUUUAAGAUAUAGGGUUUGGGUUUAGGGUUUAGAGUUUGGGUUUAGAAUUUAGGGUUUAGAAUUUUAGAUUUAGGGUUUAGUUACGGCGUUAGCAUUAUUAAAAUGAGCGUCAUUAAUUUUUUCAAUUAUUUUAGACGCUCAUUAAUUUUUUCAAUUAUUUUAGAUUAGUUUUAAAAAAUAUUGUAUUUUAUUAUUAAUCUAUAUGACAUUUUGAUUGGUAAUAAGAAUGGAGGUGAAUUUAAAGGUUACGGGUGAACCUAAGUUUAGUUUGAGGUUUAAGAACAUACGUUUUCGUAAAAUCUCACCAAAUUUUAUAAAUAUAUAUUUAUAAUAAUAUUUAAUUUUAAGUAAAACAUAAAAUUACAUAAAUAUUUUAUCAAUGAUUUUUCAAAAAAACUAUUCACACCAUUGAAAAAAACAUUUGCUGUGAGUCUCUUAAAUUCUUGAGAUACUCAUAAUUAAAAUAUUAAUACUAAUUUAUAAUAAUAUUUUAAAAAUAACCAUCAAUGUAAUUUUGUGUUGAGAAACUUUGGUGAAAUAGUAUUGAUAUAAAUGUGUUGGAGUAAGAUGUUUCAUAUGUAUAUUUUACAACUAAAAAUUAUAAAAAUAGAGUGAACAAAUUCUGAUAUUUUUUGCUUUAAAAAUUAUUUUGCCCUUGUCAGUGAUGUAAAUUUUAUUUCCAAUUAAACAAUGGAAAUGAUUAAUACUAUUAUAUUGAUAAUUUUGUUCUUGUAUGAGAAUCUAUUAAAUGUCAUCUAAAUUUUGUUUCUGCAAACAAACAGAUACUUUACUUUAUCCACCUUUGUGUCAUGCAGUUUUAGUCCAAAUAAUACUAACACGAACUAUUAUACUAUAGGUUCUGGUUAACGUAAACUUGUUAAAAAAUUCAGAUAGCUAUUGUGUACUUUUCCAGGGGUUGAUACUUGAUAAGUAACGUUUAAGUGUUUUAAUAGUUUAAAUUACCAUUCUAUUUGUGUUUCCAGCCAAAUGCUGAAUCCCGUGCUCAUGUUAAUUGGCAACAUGAACCAUUUUCUGUUGAAUGGUAAGGUGAUCUCAAGAAGCCAAGCUCGCCGUACACCAACCAUCAGAAAUCAUCCAAUUUUUCUAUAUAUGUUUUUUUUGUCUAAUGGUUCAUAUGUUUUCUAAAAUUUUCUUGAUUUUCAACCAAAUUGCUGUCUAAAUACUGAUAUGAGCAUCUCAGUGUAUUUGAAAAAUUCCAACACCAAUAUUCUAAAAUUUUCAAGUGUUUGAACUUUACUUGCAAAAGAUUUUUUUUUUCAGCUAACAGACCUACGCGGUGAUUUUUCUCUCAGUAAAUAUAUCUAAGAUAUUUGCUCUUUUCAGUAAAUGACCAAAAUCUUUUUAUAAUGACUGCAACUUUGGAAUAGAGAAAAAUAACAACCAAGUAUAAAUUGUAAGAAAGUCUAUAUGCCAGCAAACAUUUUAACAAAACAUGUUCUUUCAUUCAAAUUGUUGGCCAGUAUCGUUUAGUCAUAUACAUUAUCUUCCUUUCUAGAAGACGUGGGAAGCAUUUAGAGCCACAAUAUGAUCACAGACACAGAUACAAUAAUAAGCUAAUUAAAAUUAAAAUUAUAUGGCAAUCCUCUAAGCCGGAAAAUCUUAUGAUGUAAUCGUAUCGGACAAAAAUAUUUUGCGGAUCAAUUGUCAUUACCCAUCAUCAAUAGGUUUUCGUUUUCAUUCAUCUUCAUUCCUUUGUUUGUAGAAAAUUAUAGAACAAAUAAAUUCUUCGUUAAUUUUGAUAAGGAACCAUGAUUUCUCAUCAUUCAUAAAAUUUUAUUCCUAUUCAUUUAUUUUAUAUUCGUUCCUAUUGUUCCUACAAUGGUUAAUUACCGGUCAUACCCAUAGAGUUAAUAUAUAUGCAUCUAGUGUGUCGAUGUUUUGACAAGGAAAUGAUGGUCUUCUUUGGCUCUCGAUGAAGAUUGAAGACCCAAGUUUCUUUUUGAAGUGAUUUGCUCUGUUUCGAAAAUUUCUAAAAGCUUUCUCUACCACAAACCGUAAAUCAUAUGAUGCACAUGUUGUAAAAACGACGAUGAAUAAUUUAACAUUCUUUAAAAAAAUAAUAUAUAUGUCACAUAAGAAAAAAAUAUAGGAAUAAUUAGUUCUACGAAAAACAAACAAACCCUGCUUAUAUUUUUUUUUUGAUCAAACAAACCCUGCUUAUAUAUGGUUAAUAACUUAAUAUGUACUAAUUAACCAUAAUGCCCUGCUAUAUCCUGUUAGAAAACUUAAAUUUUAACUUAAAUUUUAGUAUAUCCUCCCCUGGAAUUUCAAUCAAAGUUAUAUCUAAACCUCUGUUCAAAAACGCGGCGCACAGGACCGCAUAGUCGCCGGAAAUUCGCUCGUCGGCCUCUGUCCGCCGCGAUUUGCUCUUUAUCGGACAAAAAAACGGGAUUUAAAAAAAACUCCAAAUUUUGUUCAGUUAGACUUAGAAAUCGAAGUAGAUCUGUCUAUUCUACCUAUAAAUACAAAGGAAAACGGAAGAAAACAAUGAAAAUAACAGAAAAAAAUAAAACGGCCGCCAUUAUUAGGGUUAGGGUCGCAGGCACAUGAGGAAGAAGAUGAAUAUGAAAUGACUAUUCUACCCUCAUUAAUGCUUUAAAGAUAAAAAACCAAUUACAAACAAACUCUCCGGUUUGAACCCGGGUGCAUUACAUAUAAAUAAAGCCCACUAACCACUGGGCUAUCAAAGAUCUAAUGAUUAUACUUAAAAUAUCUAAUAUAUAUAUAUCUAAGCUCUAAAACUAGGCCCCGAUUAAUUCCCGCAUACUCCCCGAUUUUCUCGUUACGCGCUAGGCCCGGAGUUACCGCCCGACUAGCGCCUAGCGUAGUUCGGAACAGGGAUCUAAACUAUCAAAGUAUGGUUAAAAUAUUUCCAAAAAAUAAAACGGCGUACAAUAUGUUAACCAAAGUGAUGAUUCAUCAUGCUCGAUCCACGAUCGGUUAUCACGAUGGGUUUAAGUAAAUCCACGACAGAAAAUCAAACUUAAUUGAUUAUUCAAAGUUAAAACUAUCUGUUGAUGUGAUAUUGUGAAUUUGUGAUGUAACGAUUGAUGUGAACACAGACACGCGUGUAUAAAAGAAGGUCAACAUCUUGUUACAAUUAUAACACCGGAAGUGGACAAUAUGAGCAGACACGUGUUAGGUGUUAUUGGAUAGCGAUGAUGUAAGCCCAAAUAAAGUUUUGUUUUUGACUUUUAAGGCCCAUAAACGGUUGCCUCUUUCUUCUGUUUUGUCCAGACUCCUUAUUAAAAAUAUAAAAGCCCAUAAUGGGCCAUACUUUUAUUUGCAAAUCUUGACCCUUAAAAUUCUCUUUGCAUCACCAUCCACUCCGCUUGGUUUCAUUUGAUGACGUCUUUGGUAUUUAGAGAAAACAUGUCAAAAACAAAUGAAAUAAUUUCAAACUAUUUUGGAAUACAUGUAGCAAUUUCGACAAUUAUUAAUACCACCUGUUGAAUAUUAUGUCAAAGAUGUAAUGUCACCUAAGUACCAGGCAAACUUUUAACAAUAAUUUGUAAAGAAUUUGCUAUACAGGUUUAACUUUGUGAGAGGAAGGUGGCUGGUUGAAAUAAUAAUGUAUAUUUUGUAAUCAGUAGAUAAUUCUCUUCUCCCCCGCUGAGGAAAGAUUUUCUCUGAUGCAAGUUUUAUUGAUAGUUGAGAAGCUAAUCUUGUAUGUGUAAGGCCACAAAAGGAUUACGAUGAUUUUUAUGUGAAGCCAGAUGUUUCAGCUUGUGUACCAUCAUUCACUGAUGAUGAGGUCGACACGGGGAUCUUUGACGUCUUGGAAGUAAUUACUGAAUCAACGUUCUAGCAUAAACCUUGACAUUUCCGAUGCCACAAGAUGUUAAGGAUUUAAUUAUCUGCCUUUUGCACCAAAUCUGCUUUAGAACACAAUCACCACCGACUAUCACAUGCACUAUUCAAAUGCACUGCACGAUGUAGGCGAUUGGUCACAAAAGUGUUUCGAAUUUGAAACCGAUAAUUCUAAUAUUUUGACAUAACAUGUUCUUGCUUAUAAAAUACUACAUUUGAACAACAUUUUAAGUUCGAAACAUUUUUGUCUAUUAGAAAUAUGUUGAUAGUGUUAGCAACCUAACAAUUAUUAAUCCAUGGAUGGAUGUUAUGAUACAAUAUAUGUAGUUCGUGUAGUUUUUAAUUCAUUGAGAUUGUCCAGAUGUUUCGUAAUGUGGUAGCUAUAAUUCAUCUAGCGGACGAUCUUUUUUUUUUUUUUUUGAAAUUGUGGAUGUUAGGUGUUCUUGUAUCACUGUUGAGGAUCUUGACUAAAGCUGUGUAUCCUCAAGAUCCUGAUGGGUUGAGAAAAUGUGUGAACCUUUACUUUGCUGUGGGGAUUGUUGUUAUGGUGAUAUGUGAUGUGUCCUAUAACGUAGCGCAAGGCUCAAGCACUACUCAAAGAGAGUCAAGAGAACGGUUCUUUGACUAGACUGGAGGAAAACGCUCUGGCAGAUCGUGAUGAGGAUCAAGUCUCAUGGCUUCGGAUCGUUCUCAAAUCUCAUAUGCAUUGUGACGUUAGCCCUGUUCUUUUGCUGGACGCAGUGCGUCACCAAAAUAUAAAAAAAUUUAAAAGGACAGGUCAGCAAUAAAUUAAAAUACAGAGUCAUGGAUUGACGCAAGCCAUACGUCAAGAUUGUCCGGGAGACGCUGCAUUUUACAGCGGCGAAGAAAUCACCGAAAAGAUCACUUGCGACAGCCGCCGGCAGGAAGUAUAUAAGGACGGUGCAUUUGCAAUUCUCUGUUUUGUUCGUUAAAUUUUGGUUUUCGCUGCUAACGCUGCGUCCCGCAAAAUAACAGGGCUGUUGUCGAUAUUCCCUGGUUAUAUCACUGAGGAUGUUCAUUCUGAGCUUCUUGGAGAUUGGUACCCUGUUCUAGUCAUUGCAGGCUUCAACGUGUUUGACUUGGUUGGCAAGUCUUUGACCGCUGUUUUCACGGUCCGAUGUUUCUCAGGACAGAGAUUUCUGUAGCUAUACUGACAUCCUUAUUGGGACUCACUAACGAGAACUUGAAAAGCGUUUUGAUGAUUCUGGCUUGGUUCUGGGUCAUUUGAUUCUAACAAAGCUUGUUUGUUAUCUGUAUUUGUAUAUUCUUUGAGCUUCAUUGAUUUGUAAAAUCUUUUGUUUGUACUUCACUAGAACUCUUUUUAUACCAUAGCAUUUGUUACACUAUGAUCACAAUAGACUUAAAAGCUGUGGAAGCGGAAACGGUACAACGUAGAUUCAGUGCUCUUCAUAUAGCUAAUAAGUUCGGAUCGGGUUAGAUCUCGGUUUGUUUAGAUCCAUCACAAGCCUAAUUCGGCCCAUUCUGUAAAUCAACGCGUAACUGGGUCGUAAAUAUUCAUAAACAAACCGGUUAGCUUCUGGUUCAACCGGGAAUUGGUAACCGGUUAGCCAUCUGGCCUUCUCGUAUUUGAGUCUUUUUAUACAAGGCUACUUUAGAAAGAUUCUGGCAUAUGUACUUUAGAAAGAUAUUUUUGGAGAAGGCUGAGUGAAUUGAUGAGCCGAUGAAACUGAGUGAAAUUCACAUGCGAAUUGGCAUUUAAUCUUUUGAUUAUUUCAACCAACCAGAAACAGGAUUUUUAACACAUCUAGUAGAUAAAUCCAAACUGAAUUAAGUGAAAACUGCAUAUGACAAUGCACAGAAACUCUAUUGACCUUGGAUUUGAUCUCACAACACUUAUUGCAUAUGUAGCCCACAGGCCACAGAGAUAUUUUUACAAACCUUUAUUUUCAUAAUAACAGCAAUAAUGGAUUUGGAGUAAGUUAGUUGAAACAGGUAGACUUCAAUGGAGAGAGAGAGAGAGACAUGGACUCACUGCUCUCACUGAUCACAAGCAGAGGUCAAACUCCUUUACUCUCUCUGAAACGUUGUCAUAACAUAUUUGACAAAGCCGUGAACUUGUCAAUACGUAUUCAUAUUAACCAACACAAGAAGAUGUUACUUGUGUGUUCCUUGUGAUUCCAAAACAAUAAACCUCGUUUCUGGUUUUGAGUCCCACUUCACUACUGGCUCCUCCUUUGGCUACGCACAAUAAUACAUGAUACUCACAUCUAGUAAAUAAAAACACGUGAUACAUGUAAAGACAUUCAAACCAGCAAUCCUUCUAUAGUCCGGAAUUUAAGGGAAACAAACAAAUACAAACAUAUCAAAUAGUUCAGUUGGUAACUGAAAGUGAUGGAUUGUUCCAUUAUAAUGCUACUAGAUGAACCAAUUAAUUUUUAAAUAUAAUUAUUAUUAGACAAAUAUACGCUUGGGGAUCCGAAAAUUAAAUUAAAAAAAAUUCUCUGAUAUGUUUAAAUAUUAGUUAGGUGACAUUUGUUUGCUUUUUAACACUGCAAGAAAACGUGAGAAUAACGACUACCAUUUACGACUACAAAUGUGUAAUUUAUACGUAAUUUUGCUACUAAAAUGUUUAGUCGUAAAUUGGUCGUAAACUAACUUCGCAUUUACGACCACACUUUCAGGUAGUCGUAAUGUGGUCGUAAAUGUACGACUAAAUUACAUCGACAAGCUACCAUCUGAUUAACGACCACUUUACGAGAAACGUAGUUGCACAUUUGUGGUUAAGUUAUUAUCAAACGUAAAUAUGUUAUUUAUUAUAUAAUUAAUGAAGUUAUAUAUUUAUAUAUAUAUAUAUAUAUAUAUAUAUAUAUAUAUAUGUUGAUGAUCCAUGUUGAUUAUGAUGAUCUAUUUUAUCCUCAGUGGUUUCACGAAUUGAUACAAGGUCCGGUCGCUAAGGUCACCACAACAACUAUGUAUUUCACACGAGACUACACUUUUCACACUUACGAAUAUGGAAGUCGGCGAGCAACAAUGAACUAUGGAGUAUGUGUGAAAGGUGAAACUGAUUUCUAUGGAAUCUUACAAGAGAUCAUCGAAGUGGAGUUCCCCGGCCUAGUGAAGCUGAAAUGCGUUCUAUUCAAAUGUGACUGGUUUGACCCACAGUCAAUAGAGGUGUUCGGUAUAGCAAGUUUGGAGUUGUUGAUAUAAAUGCUACACGGAGGUACAACAAAUUUAAACCCUACAUAUUGGCAUAUCAAGCAGACAAAGUUUGUUUUAUUCCAUACCCGAGGAUCAUACAAUCUGGAAUAUCUUGGUUUGCCGCUAUAAAAGUUACACUUCGGGGCCAAGUCUUGACUGAUGAACAACUGCCUUUACAAGAAGAUGUCGUAAAUGAAGUAGAAAUACCUGAGCAUGCUACAAAUGUUAUCUUACUUGUUGAUCCACACAACCAGAGAUAUGAAGAACUUCCAGACGAUGCAACAGACGAAGCCAACGAAGAUGAAUUUGAAGAAAAUGAUGAAGUGGAUGAUGUUUCUGAUGACGAGUGAUCGAGUUUGAUUAUGUUACAGUGUUUGUGUUUUAUUAUAUUAUUAAACUAUUUGUAUUGCAUUACAAAUAAUAUAUAACUUAUUAUCAUGUUUGCUCAAUUAUAUAUGAACAUAGUUUUAAAAAAAAUCUUUCUACUUUGGGGUUUAGAAGUGUAUAAAACUUAUGAUGUUUGGGGUUUGGGGUUUCGGUUUUAGGGUAUAAACACAAAACGAAGCCAAUUAGUCGUAAAGUACGACUCAGUUACGACUAAUCUUAAUUCUUCUCACAUUGUUCUCUAAUUGGUCGUAAAGGACUUCGUCCCACAUUGGUCGUAAUUUUAAUUCUUCUUUACGACUAUUAGUCCUUAAUUGGUCGUAAAUAAAAAAAAAUAUUUAGUCCCUAAUUGGUCGUAAUAUUAUUUGGUCCCUCAUUGGUCGUAAAUUUACGUCUCCUUUACGACCGCUAGUCUCUCAUUGGUCGUAAUAUUACAACUCAUUUACGUCUAACACCAAAACUCUAUAUAUACUCGGACCUCGCGAAGCCAUUUGGUUGCUCAUUCUCUUCUCUCUAACAACGACUUCCCUUCUCUCUCUAGGUAAGUUUUUUUUUUAGUUUUAGGUGGUUAGUUAGGUGAUUAUAUUAGGUUUGGAACUAGUUUAGGAUGGAAGUAGAUUAGGAUAGAGUUAGAUUAUGAUGGAAUUAGAAUAGGUUUAGAUUAUUUUUAUAUAAAAAAUUUGAUUUGUUUAUAACCAUCUAUUUUUUUGGUUUUUUUUUCUUCAGAUUGACGAUAUUUCUAUGGCUGGCGGUAGAAAGAGACUUAGGAACCUUGCGCCUAGAAACUCUUACGGGAGUACCUUUCUCGGAUAGCCGGAUCCAUCAGCUUCUACCUCCGGUACAUCAUCCGACUUCUUCGACGAAAUAAACCUUAAUGCUUAGUUUUUUUCGGUUUUAAUUAAUUUAUGUUUUGAAUGUUGUAUAUUAUGGAUAUUAUUAUGUUUACGGAUGAUAGAUAUUUUCUUUUAAUUUUAUCAAAAUUUAAAAAAUUAAAUCAAACUAAAUUUAAAUAUUUGAUUUUAAUUAAUAUAUAAAAUUCGUAAAUAAAUAAAUAAAGUUGGUCAAAUUUACGACCAAUGAACAUCUAAAGUCGAUGUAAAGUGGUCGUUACCUUAAGACUAAUAAACAUCAACAUUAGAGGUAAAUUGGUCAUAACAUUAGAGGUAAAUUGUUCGUAAGGUUACGACCAAUGUACGACUAAUAUGUCUAGUCGUAAUAUUACGAUCAAUGUGCCUCUAAUAAUUAAUUACGACCAGCGUCUAAUGACCAAUCAAUUUUCGAAGUUAAUUGGUCGUAAUGCCCAUAUUACGACCAACUAGCUACUAAUAUUGUAGUCGUUAAGGUCAUGUUUUCUUGUAGUGUAAGUACUUUAAAGAAACCUGAAAUAAUAGUAAUAAGUGUACUAGAGUGGAAGUUCGCCAUAGCCGCUCCUCUCAGACACAAUUAUCGAGGCAAACCUUCCUCCACCAUUCUCUGGCGCCGGUGAAGCCCAAUCUCACAUGCGUCGAGACUUUUCAACCCAGCUUUGUUACAUCUUUGUCUCUUUGUUCUUCUUCAAUCUCGUCCUCGUUUUCAGUCCGUUUCUUUCUUUGUUGUCGAGUAAGUUUUGACUCUUUGGCCCAAUGGGUUCACGACGGAGAAGCUGUUGCUUGAAACCAUCGCUCUCGGCGUCGCUAUCCCUAUGGAUUAUCUUUCUCUCGACGUUGAGCUCACAUGCUUUUACAGUCACCGCUCCUCAGUGCGUCUCGGGUUCAAGCCCCGACGAACCUUUCUCAAGAGAUUCGUAUUUGUCAAAACCGAUGUCGAUUGAGAGCGUUUCUUCUCUGUGGAGAUCUGUUCCUCAGUCAGGGGCUCUCAGUGCUCAAGAAGAUCUACCAGUCGCCACUACUCUGCUCUCAACCUGCUCCAAUUCUUGGAUCUCACUGCGACCAGAUCUGAAGAUACUUUGGCAUCUACCUUGUUCGUUGUCCUUUGGGAUGAUUGUUACUCUGUCUACGGAGAAGAUCUGUUCACUCUCUUUGCUGGAUGAGCCUGUCAUUGGGUUUGUAAAGUUUUGGAAUGAUACUCCAGUAAUGAAGUCUCCAAUGUUUUCCUUUCAAAGUCAGCACUUGUUACUGCUGUUAUUCUCGGAGUCCAAUGAAAAUAGCUAGUGUGUCUGGUCCUUCAAACCUCAUUUGGUGAUAAAAGACUACAGGUUAUGGUGUUAUCCCCCCCCAUGUUCUCUCCACAACCUCCAGUACGGUAAUGCCGAGGAUCAGAGCUGCUUAGGGAUAGUAGCCUCAGAUGACGUGUCUGAACUCAUGGAAGUUGAUAAGCUGCUAAGCAAUUAUGAUCACAUUAUUUUGCUUGGUGUUGCUACGAGGUUAUGGCCAAAAGUUAAAGUGCUCAUCAACCAACCACUGAUUGCUUUUAUAACCACAAGCUUCAGCACCACAACGAUCCAUAGCCUGCAAAUACAAAAGCUUGGCUCAGUUUACCCUUUCAACUUAACCACUCUGGAAAAGUUUAUACAACCUUCCUCUCGUCAGGGUCGAGAGAGAUCUUUAUCCACAUCCUCUAAGGAGAGAACACUUCCACCAAAAUUCAUUUCUUCGAGAGAGAUCCUUUUUUGGGACCCAGUUUCAGAGAAGAAAAUCUUUAUCCUAACCGUCUUGCAUUCUUGUGUGAAGGUUUGUUUGAAACCGGUAGAUGCAUCGAUGUUCAUUUCGAUGAAGUUCGAGGUUAUGGACUUGUAUUCAAAGCCACAUGAUAAGUUGGCUCAUCAAAAGUCGCCUGAAGAGAUUAAAGUGAGAUUGCUCUCCUUUUCUAGUGUAAUGCUUGGCCUUUUAGGCAUGUCUUUAGAUGCAGUAUCAAACUCUUUUGAGUUUGUGUCUCUAUCCUUUUAUCGUUUUAUUGGUGUUGUUGAAGUUUUAAAUUUGGCUAUUCGGAUUUGUCUAAAAGUGCUUAUUUACUUUGUAGUGUUUUAAAGUAUGAAUGAAAGUAACUGGUUGCACAAAAAAAAAGAAACCCGAAAUAAAGAGAAAGUAACAAAAUAAAAAAAGCAAAUGGUGGAAGUCAAAAGAAAAAAAAACAAAAGCAAAGCAUUGAGUGUCCUUUAUAAUUUGUUAAAAAUAUGAAAAAUAUGUCAAAGUUAAUAAAGAGUAGGGGUUUCAACAAAUGAUGAUGCAAAUCCAUUAUUUGCUUCGAUGAUUGGGGAGAAAAUUAAGUAGAUCCACAUGCUGAUUUGUCUUCGACAGUUUUGUUUACGUUGGAAGUUAAGUUACGUAUGAUAGAGACAAAUAGUAUUUACAUGUUCUUAUUAAGAAGUUUGGUGUGUUUUGUUUCUCCGGGAUUUCAUGUAUUAAAGACAAGCUGUUGUAUAUUUGGAAAAUUUUGAACUUUUGGCAUAUAGUUUACACAAAUUUGGAGCCAGCUAUUGAUAAUACGUUAGAUGGACUUGCACAAAUUUGAAACCAGCUAUCGGAAAAACUGUUUGUUAACGCGUUAAUUCCUAAUUAGAGUAAGACAACAGAGUAUUAUCUAUCCAGUAAAAAAUAACCAAAUCUGUACGUAAUUAAUUGAUGUUAAAAAGGUCGAAUAGACGGAUAACGAUGUUAUUGAAAUGCGAAGGUGAUCUAAACACAACAAAAAAUCUGAAAGAUUAUUAGUUACCUUUAUGUGAUGACAAUGCUUUUUAGCACCGACGAGAGACUAUGAAAAAAGUUUUAGAACUGAACAUAACUUUGUAUUCUUUGUACUCUCGCUAGUUUGCUACCAUUUAAAAACAGAUAUUGUCAAAAUCAACUAAAUUAUAAUUUAGAAUUUGUUAAAUUUAAAAUUAUAUCAUAAACUUUAAACUUUAAACUAAUUUACAAUUGUAAAUGUAACGUCUAGGCCUAGUAACGUCGGCUCCCCUAUCACGGAUUCAGUAAUGCACAAGUACUCAAACAAAUUAAUCUCACGAGCCAAGUUAUAAAUGUAAUGUCGGCUCCCGAAAACUCCCAACAAAAUAAAAACAAACACGUAAAAAGUUCAUAUAAACAAUGUUCUCAGCAGCCAAAGCGCCAAGUGUGUUACCCUCAUUACGCAUCUGUCCCAUUGUAAUAUAGGCAGCUCGUGACUCUCUCCUUUUCUCCAUCUCCUUUAAUUUUCAUAGUAUUUUAAACCAAAAUGUUGUAAACAAAAAAUUGGGUGGCACAUAGAGUCCACCUCAUCUUUCUACACGCCUACAUCCAAAGGACAUACAACUCAGCACAUGUAUUGAAACACCAUCGCUGUCUCCAUCUUCUUUAUUAUAUUUUCUUUCAAUAUAUAUAACUAUAUAACGACUUCUUAUAAUAUACACAUGUUAAAUCCAUAUCAUAACCCCUUCAUUUAUAGAUAAAAUAAAUAUUCAAUCAGCCAAUCCAACCAACCAGCUAUAAUCAUCAUAAAUAGCGUCAACAAACAUUCACUAAAUAUCUUAAAUAUUAUUCGUGCCGCCACAAACAAAUCAGUAACAAGUCUUUACUGUUACUGAAAAAGCUUAGGAAAACAUAUAACAAUAGUAGAAAAUUAACAUUCCUCUAUUCAAAUCUCGGCGAUAAGAUAAUAUUCAUAUUUAAUACAUAAAAAAAAAAAGCAUGAUAGAUCCAGACCCGACCCGGUUUUAAUCCGCGAUGGCCCAGUUCAUGUCGUUCUCAAAUAUCCAGUGACAAACCUCAAUCAGACCCGGUUUCGACCCGAGAGCUAAGAAAGCUCCGUGCUUCGGACCCCACGAUGACGUGUCCAUGUGACAGAUGGCGAUCCCGUGGUUGAUCUUGGUCUUACUCUUCAAGUCAAGAAGAUCCGCUUCGUAGACCCGAACCUUAGGAACGGAGUGGCAGUAAUACAUUAGAUACGGGUACAAACUCUGGUGACAUGACACAGCUUUCGUCACUUUCCCGCCGUUGAUUCCGUUGACUUUCCCGAUCACCACCUUCUGCUUCGACCCCGCCACAUUCUCCGUCGUUCGCAGCACCACGCUCCGACCAAGCACCGACGUGGCGAAAUCGAUCAUAUCCUCGGCGGAACCAACGCACCGCUUCGUCUCUCCAACACUCGGCGACCUCUCGCAUUCCGUCACCGCGUCGGAGAUGAUCUUCUCCAUCGUGGAGUUCUCUCCGGCGUGGAAGAUCUUGUUGAUCUCGGCGAGCUUGGAGGUGGAGAAGGGGAGCUUCGAGAUGAUGCUCCGGGGCAAAAACGACCUUUCAGGCAUUUUAUCCUUAAUGUCAGGCAUAGGAAUCACUGUGCCUUCUUUAAGCGACGCCUCUCUGAAGAAUUUGCCCGGCUCGAUCCACUUAUUCACGGUUUUGCCAUCGCCGAGGGUUGCUGACGUGGAGGAGACGUUGUACUUCGCGAAACCGACGCCGUUUUUGGCGUAGUCCUUGAAAGUGGAGUUGGGCGUGUAGGUUUUGAAGCUGAUCUUGUGUCCUUCGGCUCCUUUGCCAUAACCGGUGAAUGUCUCCGAACCGGGAUUGAAUGACUGACCGUAAUUAGUGAAUUUAGCCGUACCGGAGUUUGAGUCUUUAGCGUAGGAGGAGAAGGAGUCGUCUCCGACGUUGGAUUUGUCUCUGUAGUUCGCGAACGUGUCGGAGGCGGCGUUGCCGGAGGCGCCGUAGUUUUUGAAGUUGUUCUGCGGGACAUUCCCGUCGCUGCCGUAGCUCGUGAAGGAGUCGUUGGCGGCGUUUCCUUUCUCGCCGUAGUUCGAGAAGCCGGAGCCGAUUACGUUGGCGGAGACGCCGUACGAGGCGAACUCGUUCGGCACUCCGUUCCCGUUCUUGCCGUAGCUCGUGAACGACUGGCCGUUCCCGGCGUUGGCCUCGUGAGUGUAGGUUUUGAACGACUGAGCCUUUCCGUUUCCGCCGUCGGAGUACGCCGUGAAUCGGCUCGUCGGGUUGUUAACGCCGUUUUGGUAGUUGGUGAAUUCUCCGGUGCCGCCGGUUCCGAAGGUCCCGUAGGAGUUGAAGUUUUCCUCCACGACGUUGCUGCUGUCGCCGUAGACGGUGAACUUAUCGUCGUGUCCGGCGGCGUUGCGGCUGUAUCUCCGGAACGAAUCGGUGACUACGUUGCCGUCUUUGGAGUAGGUUUUGAACGAGUCGGCGCCGCCGGCGGCGGCAUUGCCGUAGUUGGUGAAGUUCUUCUGGUCGUAGACGGAGAACUUGACGUCGGCGUUGUGCUGCUCGAGGCUCGGGGAUAAAUCCGGGAAGCAGAAGAGGUUCGCGGCGGAGCAGAAGUCCGGGAGACGUGUCGGGAGCGAGUUCUGGGCGGCGAGUUUGGCGAAAGUGGCGGACUCGACGGCGUUAAGCGGUGAAGCCUUGGAGAUGAGGAACUCCGAUCUGAGAGAUGAUUUGUCGCUGCGGAUCUC